CUUUUGAAGCUAGAGCUCUGUAAAUGAAGUCUUUGAAGCUAGAGCUCUUGUAAAUGAAGUCUUUGAAGCUAGAGCUCUUGUAAAUGAAGCUUUUGAAGCUAGAGCUCUGUGAAUGAAGCUUUUGAAGCUAGAGCUCUGUAAAUGAAGAUUUUGAAGCUGAUUGACAUGAGUGAUGCUCAUGAAUGUUUAUGUUGAUUGACAUGAGUGAUGCUCAUGGAUGUUAACAUGAGUGAUGCUCAUGAAUGUUAACAUGAGUGAUGCUUAUGAAUGUUUAUGUAUGAUUGAUAUGAGGGAUGCUCAUGAAUGUUUAUGUAUGAUUGACAUGAGAUGUUCAUGUAUGAUUUGAAGUACUGGGCGUACUUUUAAUCACCUGGUUGGAGCUAUUUUGGGCUUAUGGGUUUUCGCCCUCUACACAACAUUCCAGCCCAUUUAUUUUGGGCUUUGCCGUUUUUUUUUUUUUUUUUUUUUUUUUUUUUUUUUUUUUUUUACCCUCUGAUGGGGUUUAUACAUAUUACCCUCUGAUGGGGUUUAUACAAAUGUUUUCAAAAUAAAAGGAAAAUAAAUUACAUCAUUCUGAUGGGGUAUUUAUUCCUUGUUUUUUGCAGUGUCUCCAUAUGCAUCCCUUUUGCUUUCCUCUUUUCUGCUUUCCGAAAUAUUCUCCCAACAACAUGAUCUUUUUCUUUUCUUUCUUUUUCUUUCUUUUUCUUUCUUUUUCUUUUCUUUCUUUUUCUUUUCUUUUUCUUUCUUUUUCUUUUCUUUUUACUUUCUCUUUUACUGAUGCUUUUCUUGAUCUCCCGCUCAUUCUCUGUCCACCUUGAUUUGUAAUGUAUCUUUUGCCAAACCCACUUGCUUUGGUCGUGCCCAUCCAUUAUCUCUGUCUCUGUCUUUUCCUUUUUCUGCUUUUCUUUCUCUUUCCUUGUGCUGCUUUGUUUUGCUUUUACUUUCUUUUUCCUUUUCUGCUUUUCUUUCUGAUAUUCUUUCUGUUUCUUGACCCAUUGAUUGAAGUGGGAUGGGAUCAAGAACGAUGGAGCGGAUGGACAUCUUGGCAAUUUCCGAAACAGCGGCGUCGCGCACGGCAGCAACGUCACUGCUCAAAUGCUUGAACUCCGCCUUGAAAGCCUCCUGCCAAAAACGUAGCAGUUGACUCGUGCUGGUGUGGCUACUCUGCAUGUACAAAUUCCACAUGUGCCUGCAUGCAUCCUCAUAACAUAAGGGAUCAGCUUUGAUAGCAGCUUUAUACCACUGUCGGGCCUGGACGCUUGCCUACAGCAACUUGCACCGACUAGGAUGUGCACCGACUCGAUUGAAAUAUCUCAGCAAUAUGAUUUUCCAGUCAGAGUCUGAGCGGUAAAUAUCUCGAGCAAUUUCUUCAAUGAAAAGCUUCGUUUCGUCCACAAGGAUUUGCUGCAGCAAAUGGGAAGUCCUCUGUACAUGGGACCACCUUCGGCCAACCAUAAACACAAGCUUUUUGCAUCCAUGGGCAGCCAUGACUUCCAACAGAGUAAUUGUCAACCUUAAUGCCAGGAAGGACACCGUCUUCCUUCAAAACAUCAACGAACGGCUUACCAGCAGCUGUCUUCUGGUAGAGGGUUUCCUCAAAGAGGAUGACUCCACUGAGGUAUUUGAGGGCACCGGGAGAGGUGAAAAGCAGCUCACGGAGAGCGCGCCUGUUUGUCUCAGUAUUCUCAACGCCAAUGCUGGAAAGACGCUUGCCAAUCGUGCCAGUUGACUCAUCGACAGCAAGGAUACCCUUUCCCGGGGUACCAAUGUAGGCAGCAUUAGCAAUGAGCUCCUCUUGUGGAGAUGGAAAGACGUUUCUCCAACUUCAACUAUGACGUCACUAGCAAGUCUAGUUGAGCAAAGCCAAGUUUUGCCAUCAAGGAAGGAGACUGCAGAUUUGGAUCUCAGCUUCACGCACGCCAUGUCCGAUUUCAGAUUUGGAUCCCAGCUUCACGCACGCCAUGUCCGAUUUCAGAUUUGGAUCCCAGCUUUUCAGUCUUGGAUUUCAGCUCCAAGCACUCCUGCUUCGACGAACUGGCCUCGUCGGCGGCCUUUGUGACCUGGUCAGCGAUCUGGAUUGGUUUCGCCAAGAUUUGCUUCACUGUGUCCGCCAUGGCUCUCCCUCUUAGGCUCGCGGGUGGACCCAAACCGUCUCCGAGCCUCGAAACCGCUACUGGACACAGUGGAUUGGCGCACAUGCAGAGACAGAGAGCUUGUUUUCUUCUAGAAUUUGGACUUUGGGGAUGGUUCAGGAAUUUGGACAGGAUUGAAUCCGUGUGGGUCUUGAAAGCUCUACAAGACAGAGAAAUGAGAGAUUUGAUUCCUUGGUUUUUUUUUUUUUUUUUCAAAACAGAGAUAUGGGCUUUUCUGGGUAUCUCAGGAUUUUUUAGAGAGAGGAUUUUUUAGAGAGAGAGAUGGGACUGGGAUUUUGGUUUGGUGUUUAUGCAGAAUCACGGCAGAGGUGAAAAAAAAAUGAAAGAGAACCGACAUAGUUUUUUGUAUCGAUUCCCACAGACGGCGCCAAAUGUUGAUGCACAAAACCGGAUGGUCUUGGAACAACGUAAAUCCGACCGUGAAUCUGCACAAACGCUCAAGAACACGAAGAACACAAAGAACACAAGGAUUUUAUCGUGGUUCACCCCAAGGUUUGGGCUACGUCCACACUGAUUGUAUUAUGUUUCUCUGUUGAAGAGGGAGAGAGAGAGCUUAGAGCUUAGGGGGUGUGAGGAAGCUUUGAGAGGGGGUGAGAGGCUUCUCUUAGCUUUCUUAGGCUUGGCUCUUUUGCCUCCUCUAGAAUGAGGGUAGGAGUCCCCUUUUAUAGAAUAAGGGGCUCCUCCUCCUUUACAAAGUAUGGGCCUUAGUGUGAGGCCUAAAUACAAGGCCCAAGACCCAAAUAUACGAGGCCCUAAAUAUGGUAUAAACAUCCUUCAUCUCAGAGGGCUGGUUAGAUUCUUCUUCUUUCAUGUCAUUGGUGAUGGGCACUCCACCUCUCUAUGGUUUGACAAUUGGCACCCACUCAAGCCCCUUAGCCAUAGAUGGCCUUCUAGUAUGAUUGAGGAAUCAUAGCUCCAACCAAAAUUCGGUCUGAGAGAUUAUUGUUGAGAAUGGUUUCGAAUGGAGGUGGCCUUUUUCUUCCCCUAAUGAUUUAUUGGAAAUUCGAGUUUCUAUGUUUCAACUUUUUCCGAACCAGUUUAGGCGUGAUUCUGUUACUUGGACGUUGUCACCCAAUGGAAGCUACUAUGCCUCAUCCGCUUGGAAUGCUAUUAGGGAGCCCCAUCCAAAGGUCCCAUGGGCUGGUCUCUUGUGGUUUGGCGAGCAUGUCCCAAGGUGGAGCUUCAUUCUUUGGCUAGCUAUAAGGGGUAAGUUAUCUAUUAUGGAUCGGGUAAUGGUCUUUACCCAUCAUGCCUCUCUUAUUUGCUCUCUUUGCUUGACUGGUAAUGAAUCUCACAAUUACUUGUUCUUUGAGUGUCUGUAUAGUGCCAAUAUUUGGUCUCAUAUGCUUUCUAAGUGUGGUUGUGAUACUCCUCGUUUGGAUUGGCAUAAGUUUAUCACUUGGGCUGCUAAUAAUUGGACGAAUUAGUCAUUGGAUGUUAGCUUUAAGAAGUUGUGCCUCCAAGCUGUUGUCUAUGCUAUCUGGAAAGAAGGGAAUAAUCGUAAAUUCAGAAACGAGCAUCUCCACUCUGUUGCCAUCUUUAAAGCCAUUGUGAACUCUAUACACUUACGGUUAUGUUCUUUGUAGAUUCCGCUUUCUACUGCAAAUGUGCCUAUAUUUCAAGAAUGGAGAAUUCCUAUGUAGUUCUCCUUUUGGUGUUGGUUGUUAGGUUGGGUUGUUUCUGUUUUUUACAGCCUCCUGUUUUUAUUUGUUUGUUUUUAGCUUGGCCUUUGUUGCCAUUGUUGUGUUGUAGUUUGUUGCUUCUUUUUGGUUCUCUUUAAUAUAAUCAUUCAUUCACCCAAAAAAAACACAAACACCACCAAAGGAAAAUGUUAACCGGAAGUAAAAAGCGAGACUCUAGAAAGACCAGAGGUCCUCAGGAAUCAAGAAUGCCCGAAAUUGUAAAAUGUCCUAAACAACAGCAUAUACCAAAGAUGGGGAAAAGAAAGGCAGGAGAACUUUUCUUAUAGGAAAAGGAAGAAUAAUAAAGAUAACUAAGGAGCAAAACAUCAAGAAAUUGAAAUCACAAACUUAGAAGAAAAACUAUGCAUACCUAAUAUUUUCUAAUACUUUUGGGUAGAAUACUUGCUUAUAUGACACUGCACCAAAACCGUACAUAUAACAAUCGCUCUAAUGACUAUAAUCUGUCAUCUUGGAUAAGAAACGAAAUAAGAAGAAACAUACAAAUGUUUCGCAUAUAGUGAUAUUUGUAUUCCCAAAAUCCCAUCCACUGACGUAUAAAUUGGAUUCCUUCAGAAAUAUAAGAUACUCAACCGCCAUAUUUGAUUCAAACAAAUCUCUCUAAGGCCUGACCAUUGUUUUUCGUACCCUAACAAAGCACAAGUCUAGGUAACUUGCCCAUAUAAUCCACACGGACCACACCAUCUAAAAUGAUAAAGAUACAGAAUGCACGCAAAGAAAGAGCCAGAACUACGUAACCAGUCAAAUUCAAGUUCAUUUCUAUGACUCAAGAUACUUACUUUGGUUCUCCGUUUGGGAAAAUUCUCGACCGGUUUAACCGAAAACCCUCUAGUAAACUCAUGUGUACUCUAUAUUUGGUUAAAGAACUUCCAACAGUUUUAAGCACAUUGAAUCAGGCAACUAUUACCAACCGUUAACGAGAUCCGUGUUAUAUACAGAAAACAAAUCAAUACAAAACCACCUUAGCAAAACAAAGUUCAUUAUCUACAUAAAUUUCAAUUUUCAAUUCAAAAGAUUACGUAAAAUACUCGAAACCAAAAUCGGAUAGCAUUCAUAAGGUAUAACUACUUACUUCAUGAGAAUGUCAUAGUACUCGGGAUCCAAAGAAGAAAACACACAUCUUUUAUAGCCAUGAUAGCUGUAUGCACCAUUAUCCAAUUUACAGACUGCAAAACUCAAAAAAAAAAAAAAAAAAAAAAAAAAAAUCUCAUCACUUUCUUUCGUUCCACACCAAACAGAACAAUUGAAUUAUAAUUAAACACAGGGGGACAAUUCUGAUUGGUACCCAAGAAAACCACUGGAAAAAGGAUAAGAAAAGAAGAGUAAAGUUCUAAACUUGCAAUUCAAUUUUCUAUUCCAUCGACUGAUUUUCUCGGCAACCAAACAGAAGAUUAGCAAAAGAUAAAAGACAAACCUUGCAGCGCUCGUCUUUGGUGUUGAGAGGCGAGCCUUCAAGAGCAGUUUUUAGAGCUUCGACUGUCUUGUACCUAGAUGAAAAACGGAUCAAACAGUUAAGGUUUUUGGGUAAUUUUCAAAUCAUUAAGGGGUUCUCCACAAAAUUCUAUGUAAAAAAGGGAAAGGAUUUGGAGUGAUAUACUGUUUGAUAAGCUCUCGAUCUUUCGAGAUUUUUGUUCGAUUCUGUUCUCUCUCUCUCGCUCUGAUUUUCUCACCUGGCAAUUGGAAAAGACUUGAGGAAACAUGUUCCCGAGAAAGUGACACGGCAGGUGGACCAAACUGUAUAUUGGACUGGAUCCUAGGUCGGUCCAAAGAUAGCCUUGAAUUCAGACCAUUUAAUUGUCCAAAUAAAUAGUGUGAAAAAGCUAUUUAGCUACUUAAUUUAAUUUUUUUUAUCUCCAACAUCGCCUUUGUCUUGUCAAAUUUUAAAUAUUUUAUUAUUAACAAUUCAAACCCAACCAAUGCAUUUUCUAAAAGAGUCUUAUCUAUCUUAAUUUUCUUCUUGCUCAAGAUUCCAUUGCUGAGUUUUAUUAUUAUUUUUUUAAUAUUUAGCUUAUGAACAAUUGCUCUGUAAAUUUAAGGAGUGAUUGAUCAUUUUUGUCACAUCUCGGUCCGGGUCCCCACCACAUCCCGGACUCGACUCCACCGUAACACGAUAUUGUCCCCUUUGGGCCUCGACCACGCCCUCACGGUUUUGUUUCUGGGAACUCACACAAGAACUCUCAGUGGGUCACCCAUUCUAGGAAGGCUCUCGCCCGAACUCGCUUAACUUCGAAGUUCCGAUGGAACCAGAAGCCAGUGAGUUCCCAAAAGGCCUUGUGCUAGGUAGAGAUGAGAAUAUACAUAUAAGGCUUAGAAGAUCCACUCCCCUUAAUGAUGUGGGAUGUUACAAUUUUGCUAUAAUAGUGACUCUUUUAUAGGAUUUGUUGGAGAUGUGUUUUUUUUAUUUAAAUUUGACUAUUUGAAAUAGAAUUUUGGUUAUUUUAUAGCAUUUCCUAAAAAUGCACUUAGUAACUUGAAGUGAAUUUGGCUUAAGUAGCGUGGUCUUUUUUAAAGGGGUGUAUUAAUUUAGACUCAAUCAACUCGAAGAAUUUAAAAUUAAAAUUAAAUUUUCAUUUCUUUUUUUUAUAUAUAUUUUACCCUUAUUUACAAAAUAAAUUUCCUAAUUUUAUGCAUCUUUUACUCUUAUAAUUUGAAUCAAAAGAUAUUAAAAUAAAAUAAUACCUUUUUUUUCAAAAAAAAAAAACCUUAUCAAUAGGACAAAUCCUAUAUGAAAUUUAACUAUUAGAACAAAUUCUAAAAAUAUUAUAUAAAUAUCCAUAAAAAUUAAAAAUAUUUUAUUUUUUGUUUUGUCAAAAAAAAAAACUUUAUCAAUAGGAACAUUUUUAUACAUUAAAAAUAUCCCUUAAAUAGCCUGUAAAACACAUAUGCCUUGAUCAAUGUUGUUCCUCUCAUGUCUAAAAAAAAAGCAACCAAUGAAACUAAAUAACAAUUCAAUUUAAUGUUAAAUGAUUUUGGUUUGCAUAUACAUGCAAAAAUUCCAAUUUCAUUAGGUAGUGAUUUGUUUCUGUCUAUUGAUUCUUUUUAGAUUUAUUCAAUCGUACAACUCGAUAUAACGGAAUGAGCAUUGGAGGAAAAACAGAAUGUGAAAAAUCGCUUAUCUUUCAUUGUCCCGUACAAGGAAAAAAAAAAGCUUAAAAAGCAUAAGAGAAAAAUUCUUCCUAGAUGUGUAUGAUCAAAUUUGUAUGCCCAUGACUCAUGUAGUUUGCGUUGCUAUUUGCUUUAGGUGCUCAACGAGCUCUGUGUUGCACCAAAUUGCUUUUGUUUCAAUCAAGACGGUGUCGUUUACAUUGUUCCACCAAAUUGCUUUUGUUUUGUUCUUUGAUCAAAUGACCUCCAAGCCCCUACAGAUAAGAUCACCACUCCACAAAAUCCCGUAAAUCAAAACAAAACACAAGGUCAAUAUCGUCAUUCUAACCAAACGGUCAUAAUUAUCGACACUCCACUUCUGAAAUUGCUUUCCCCUCUCCUCACACACUUUUUUCCACUCUUUCUUCUUCCUUGCUUUCAAAGUCUUCCUUUGCUUCACACAAAAUCCAAAACCUCCGCAGAAGCUCAACUGCUCAUCAAUGGCGGACUCCAUCCCCUGCAAAAAACCCCACUUCCCAUUCUCCGAUCCAAACCCAGAAGCUCACCGAAACCCGAUUCGACACGGUAAGUCCUACACCAUGCACUUUCUCCUUAAAGCUCUAAUCUUUGCCGUUUUCAUCGUUGUUCUUCCACUUUUCCCCUCACAAGCUCCCGAAUUUAUCAACCACACGAUCCUCACCAAGUUCUGGGAGCUCAUUCACGUUAUCUUCGUCGGCAUUGCCGUGUCCUACGGCUUGUUCAGCAGAAGAAAUAGUGCUGAAAUGGGGUUUGAGAAUAGCUCAAAUGUAGGUACUUCUGAGUCUUAUAUGCCUACAAUAUUUCCCGUUUCGUCGAAUUUCGACAGCGGGUAUGAACACCCAUGUGGGUAUGGUGAGAAAAGCGAAGGUGAGAGUUGGAAUUCUGGGUAUUUUGUGGGUAACCCUGUUGCUGCUGUGGCUCAAUCUUGUCAUGAAAGCAAUGUUUUUUAUGCCCAAUGCAAACCCAGUUUGGGGAUUUGUGAAAGUGGGUGUGAAAAUUCAUGUGGGUAUAAAGAGAAAAAUGUUACUCAAGCUAGGAAUUCUCAGUAUUUUCAGGGUGAAUCAAUGGUGUUUGUGGCUCAACCAAAUUAUGGUCUUGAUGAAUGGGGACAACCCAGAUCAAUGGUUGAUAAUCAGCCGUUAGGAUUGCCGGUUCGGAGUUUGAAACCGAGGGUGAAAAACCAGGAUAGUUUUGAGUUUGUUGCUGGGAGUGAGUUCAGUUUAGGUUCUAAGGGCUCUUUUAAUAGCUCUGAUAGGAUUAGUAAUGGGGAUUUUGGUGAUUUGGGUGCUAUAAAUUUAAAACAGAAGUUCAAUGAAGCUGCCGCAUCACCUUCCCCGGUUCAUUGGCGUUCGCGUUCUGCAAGGAUGGAAAGGGGGAAAAGAGUAGGUAGUAAUGCUCGUCCUUUGCGUUUGAGGCCACUCUCAGUUGAUGAAACUCAGUUUGAAUCAAUGAAAACUCGGUCUUUCCAGUCCACAUUGUCCUUUACUUCUGAGUCUUCUUCUCAAACUAGUUCUAUGUCUUCUUCCCCAAAAGAAGACUCUUUCACGCACUCCAUGUCUUCGGAGGUGCUUAACUCGAAGGUGGAGAAUGUGAAGAAAAGAAAGAGUCCUCAUUCUCAAGGGUCGUCUUCUCCUUCAGGAUUUGCAUCAUCACCUCCAAAACCAAUGAACGAAAAAGCUUCAGUGAGUGCGUUGCAUUUGCGGGGCUACAGCAUUGGUUCUUUCCAUGAGGAGGACUUGAGGAGAAGCUCCGAAAAUUAUUUGAAGGAUUUGAGUGGGAGCGGAAGCAGAAGUGGAAGUGGAAACGGAAGCGGAAGUGAGGAGGAGCAAUUGGGAAGCAAAGAGUUGGGGUUUUUUGGGAUUGAAUACUAAGCCUGCAAGCCUCACUAAAUCUGCAUCAAGGGGAAAAUCGGUUAGAACGAUCAGAGGUAGUAAAUUUGCCACUCAUGAAAAAGUUGAGAAGAUGUGUGACAUUGGUGAGUUUAUAUCUAUGAGAAAAGAUAUGAUGCAAAAUGGAGUAACCAACAUGAAAGAUCUUGGAAAUGGAAAGAGUAAGCAUGAUCUUGGCAAUCCUUUUCACAUGCCGAAGCUAGAAUUUCCGAAACAUGAGAAGAAGGAGAUGCGAGAAGUUCGUGGCAAUGCAGCUGCGGAGUCUGAAGAAGAAGAGCCGGAAAGUGAGGCAGAAAACUUUCAAUUGAGCUCGGAUGAUGAACGUGAAGAUGAUGCUCUUGCCGCCGCUGCUGCGGCUACAAGUAGCAACUCUCUGAAUGUUGGAGGAGCAGACUCAGAGGUUGAUAAGAAGGCGGGCGAGUUCAUAGCGAAAUUUAGAGAGCAGAUUAGGCUUCAAAAAGUGGCAUCAAAGGACAGAUCAAGAGGGCAACACAUCUCUGCUAAUUCCUUCGGGCGAUGAUCAUAUAAUUAUGAAUUAUGAUGCUCAAAGUAUUUCUAUUUAUUUGUUUUAUACAUUUAAUAAACAUUUGGUGUCUGUUGUACCAGGGAGAUGUUUAGAAAGCAUUUUCAGUCAUACAAUUUUACUACGGUUGGUGUUAUAUUUUGGAAAGAGCAAUGCUAGGGAGAUCCAAUUGGCUUCAUUUUUCAAUUUCGCGUGGCAUCCAAUUAUGAAUUAUACAAAAUGAAUAAGGUUGAUAUUUAUUCGUUGGUAGAAUCAUGAUUGCCUAUGGAUUGAUUGGAAUACAACAUUUUGGGUGCACAGAUAAAUGCUCUUAUCCAUGUGAGCUACAAGUUUCUUGUACUUUAAACUAUAGUUCGAUGAACGAUGCCUAAGUGCACCUCCUGUCUCAUCUCAUCCGGUUGUGCUCAAGGAAUUUUUACAGCUGGCAUGUUAUAAUCAAAACUGUUUAUUCCUAAAUCACUAUUUAUAUAAUCAUGAUAUGUGAAAGACCAAUCAAAUUCAAGAUUGUUUAAUAUUUCAUGUGUGUUGAACAAAUCGAAGAUUUUCGAUAACUAAAUCCGUGCAAUGAACUUGAAAUGCGUUUUUGGUUGGGCUGAAUCCGAAGACACAUUUGGAUUGAAUUGGACCCCAGAAGCAGUAAGAUGGGUCUGUCAUCUGUGUCAGCUUGGACCCCUCCAGGCAAAUAAUGAAGAACCUUGAGGGGAGGAAAUUAUAUUACAAAAGCCAUUGGGGAGUUAAAUGAUAUUAUUUAUUGGGCAAAAGACUGUUUACUACCCUCAUGUUUCAUGGUUUUCAACAUUUAGUACAUCAAUUUUUUUUUCGUCCUAGAGUCAUACCUAAAGUGUUAAUUUUGGGACAGUCUCAUACAUCCGUUAGUCAAACUGUUAAGUCUCCCGUUAACUGUGACGUGGCGCCCAUGUGGACAAUGACUGGGCACCACGUGUCAUCCAUGUGGAAAUUAAAAAUAAAUUAUUUAUAAAAUAAAUAAAUAUAAUAAUAAAUGUAUAUUAAAAAAAAGAAAAAAGAAAAAAACUUCAUCUUCCCCAAAUCCCACCCAUGCCCACCUCUUCGUCCUCCCAUCGCUCCCUUCUCGGCCUCCACCCAUAUGUGCAAAUCCAAUCCUCUCCCUCCCUCAACCCUCAACCCCCAACCCCCAACCCUCUCCCUCCCUCAAGCCCGACCCACUCAAUUUAAAAAAAAAAAAAAAAAAAAAAGUUUAUGGGCACAUCCUCUCCCUCCCUUCUCUCCUCCGCACACACUCCUCAGCUGCCAUCGUCCAAUUCACCUGCCAAAAGGACCUCCAAAAGGGCAAGUCUGUCCACGCCCACAUCAUCAAAGCCGGUCCCAUAUCCUCCAUAUACAUCGCCAACGCCGUCGUCAACUUCUAUGCCAAAUGCGGGGACUUGCCCGGACCCCACCUCGUAUUUGACGCCAUUUCCGACAAAGACGUUGUCUCCUGGAACUCUCUCACCAAUGGCUACUCCCAGCAGGGUCUCCGAGCCUCAUUUCUCGUCGUUAUCGAGCUUUUCUGGCUCAUGUGGGCGGAGAACGCGUUCCCCAAUGCGCACACUUUUUCCGAUGUCUUCACGGGUCAGCAUUUCACUCAUUUUGGAGACAGGUGCUUCCGGGGUGUCGAGCUGGAGUUUCAGCGAGUACCGGCGUGACGAAGACAGAGGUUGGGUACACCCAAGGGUUUCUGCACAACCCGAGUUACGAGGACGUGUGUACCAGCACCACCCAGCACUCGGAGGUUGUGAGAGUGCAGUACGACCCUAAAGAGUGCAACUUUGAGAGCCUGCUCGAUCUUUUCUGGUCCAGGCAUGACCCCACCACGCUCAAUUGCCAGGUACGUUGCUCUAAAUUUUGGUAAUUUGUUGUGGGUUGGACGAGAUCUGGUAAUUGACGAGCAGGUAGACAUUGAAGACGAAGAUGAUGAUGCAGAGAACAAUGGCAUCGAUGACGAGUGCGAGGUUGAAAUCGCCCAUCGCGGCGGCGUCGUUUCAGCUGCUCUCAAAUCGGGCGUCGUUUCAGCUGCUCUCAAAUCGAAUCGGAGAGAUCGAGAAGGGGAAUCAGAAAUUAGGGUUAGGGAUGUGAAAUUGCGCGUUCAAGUGAUCGCAUAUCUCUGUCGCUGGUCCGAAAAGGAGCAGAGCUGUUAAGGAAAGAGAAAGGGGAAAGGUUGAGGGCUCGGUUCCAGUGAGGUGGUGAGGACGGCGACAGGGGAAGCAUAGUUUGGGUUGGGGUGGGUGAAGGAGAAGAACAGCUUUUUUUUAUUUUUUAUUUUUUUGUAAUUUGUAAUUUUGUAAUUUAAUUUUUUUUAUUUUUAAUAUCCACGUGGAACACUUAUUGACACGUGGUGCCCAGUCAUUGUCCACUUGGGUGCCACGUCAUCACUUAACGGAAGACUUAAUAGUUUGACUAACAGAUGUAUGAGACUGUCCCAAAAUUUACACUUUAGGUAUGACUCUGAGACGAAAAAAAAUUGAUGUACUAAAUGUUGAAAACCACGAAACUUGAAGGUAGUAAACAGUCUUUUGCCCUUAUUUAUUUGGUUCUUGCCAGCAAACUGAACAGAUAACGUCACCAAAUAACGGUUUCUUUGUUUCUCUGUUGUGUGUUGGUUGGGUUGUGGACGGUUUGUAAUUUUUAGCGAGUCUCGUGACUUUUCAAUCGCUUAUGCUAUACUUAUUGGGACAAGCCCUCCACUUUCGGUGCCUUUUCCGUGCCCUCCUGUUUGUAUGGUCACGAUUAAGCCACGUCAACAUUUUAUAUUACUAUUCAUUUUUAUCUUAUUAUAUCUAUAAAAAAAAUAUAAAAUGUUGACGUGGCUUAACCGUGACCACACAAAACAGGAGGGCACGGGAAGGCACCGGAAGUGGAGGGCAGACAAUCCUUGUCCUACUUAUUGAUAUGCAAAAUUCUAAAGAUUUUAGAUAAUGAAUGAACAAUGUAUAUUGAGUUGAAACUCAUCGCAUCUAGCCCCAUCCUGUAUAGAGAAAUAGAUAACCGAAAAAUGGUGGGGGUGGGCAAUGACGGAACUAGGGUUUUUCACCGGAUAGGCUAGCUUAAAUAUUUAAAUCUUUAUAAACAAAGAAACUUGAUACUAUAUUUUUCACAAUAUCAACUAGCUUAAGAAAAUUUUCACAAGAUGAGCCAAGAAUUUUCGUUAUUAAACAAAUACGUGUUAAAAUUCGAACAAAUCCAAACUUAUACAUGUACAAAAAGAUGUAAGAAAAAUAGAUGGUUUGUAAACUGUAUUAUAUAAUUUUAUGUAUUUAAACCGAGAGAAUUCAUAUUAGUAACUAAAUAUAAGAUGAACUACAUUUGAAAAUCAAUAAAAAUUACAUGUAAACUGUUACUUUCUACCGAAGGCUACCUGGGCCAUAACCCAGGGUAUCCUUAGGCUUAGUUUGGUAUUGCUGUGCUUUAAAAAAAAGCGGCUGUGAAAAAAAGCGGCUGUGCUGUGAGAAAAAGCGGCUGUGAAAUAAAGCAGCAGAGUGUUUGGUAAACUUUUUUGUAAAAGUGCUUUUGAAAAAAAAGCAGUAUGAUAGUGUUUGGUAAACUUUUAUGUAAAACAGCUGUGGCUGUGUGAAAUGACCAAAAGGGUAUAAUACUAGAUGUGCUAUUAAUUUAAUUUUCUUAACAAAUAAAGAUAAAUUAUUAAAUAUACUUUAUUUUUAAAAGAAAAAUAUUUAUAAACUUUAUCUUAAAUAUUAAUUAGUAUGACAAACUAUUUCAAUUGAAAUAUUUUAGACUGAAUAGCUAGAAUUCAUUAGUACAAUAUUGUUAAUGUACUUGAAAGUAGUCUAAUUAGAUGCAUUCAUCAAACUUGCCGCUAUUCUAUUUCUUAAUGCCUCUAUCUCAUUUGAUCCUUCAACUUCAUAAUUUCGAUAUUCUUCAUCAUCAUCAUCACUACUAUCGCUCUCUUCACAAUAGUCUCUGGGGUCAUUAAAAUGACGAUCACGUUCAGAAUACCUCUGUAUGUAGUUAUGAAGAGCCAUUGUAGCAAUGACAAUCUUCACUUGCUUAUUGAACGGGUAAUUAGGCAUAUCCCUUAAAAUUGACCAUUUUUUCUUCCAUACCCCAAAAGUUCGUUCAAUGAUGCUCCUAAGAGAAGAAUGUGUGUGGUUGAAUACCUCUUUAUGACCCGUUGGUUCGGCACCCCUACGAAAGUCUGGGAGAUGAUAUCUUUCACCUUUAUAUGGUCCCAAAUAACCUCUCAUUUGUGGGUAUCCCGCAUCUACCAAGUAAUAUUUUCCUGACAAUUGAAAAUUUUGUUUUGUAUUGUAUUAAUUAUACAAAGCAAGUAUGUAAAAUGUUAUAAUAUAAGUAUGAAGAUUACCAUUUGGAGGCUUAGGAAAGUUUAAAAUUGGAUUUCGUAGCACGGAUAGAAAAACCCUUGUAUCAUGUGCAGUGCCUUCCCAUCCAGCACAAGCAAAUGUGAAUUGCAUGUCAAAAUUACAUGCAGCCAUAACAUUUUGAGUUGGUAUUCCUUUCCUACCAAUGUAUGGAACUUGAUCCGGAGGUGGUAUUGAAGCCUCAACAUGUACUCCAUCUAUGGCACCAAUACAAUCCUAAAAAUAAUAACAUUGAAAAAAACCGUCAACCUACACUUAUAGUUUGCAAAUAAGUUAGAAGACGAGUCAAAAUUUACCUUAAAAUAAGGCAUGUAUCUUGUAUCUCUCCUUAUUUCUUGGGGAAUGCCACAAAACUCCGAAUCCAUCGGUUUGAUAAUAUCUAUUGCCAUCUUACAUACGAUAUCCAACAUAGCACCAAAAUAUCUACUAAUAGUCUCACCAGAAUGUUGAAAUCUCUCUUGCGCUAAUCUAUUUUUCACACCAUAUCCCAACAUAUGCAAGAACAUUGCUAAUAUUUCAGUAGCACUCAUUCUCCGUGAACCUUUCAAUCCAUAAUUAGUUUGCAAGUCAUUGGAUAAUCUAUAAAAGACAUCUUUGUUCAUCCUAAACAUUCUAUAGCAUCGCACAUGAUUUCCUUGUAGUACUUCCAUCAACCACAUAUUACCUGUUUGGGAAGAAUUCAUACACGGAGUUUUGUGGAUAUAUUUUGAGUAAUAUGUUUCGACAGCUGUCGCUAUAGUGCAUAUAAUUAGACCAUCCUCCAACUCCUCAACAUCUUCAUCAUAAGUGUUCAUAUUGAAUAUACACCUGUAACCUAACACAUAAUUGAACAUUCCAUAAGUCAUAAUCCAACAAUCACUAAGAAGUCAUAAUCCGACAUUCAAGAAUAAUCCAACGUUUAAUAAGAAAUCAUAAUCCAACAUUCAACAUAUAAUCCAACAUUCAAUAAACACAAAAUACAAGCAACAAGCAACAUUCAACACAUAAUCCUAAUGCAAAGUACAAAACCACAAAUAGUCAUAAUUCAUAGUUUUAGCUCUCUAUUGUUGUUUGUUGAACAUAUAUUUCAACCAAGUCAGCUGCACUUCAGGAUCAGUCAUAGUGGCAAACACCUCUCGCUUCUCUGCACUACAAAAUAAACAUGUAGCAAAACAACCAUAACUCGCUAGGUGGCUCACAACCAGGCAAUUGUGCAACAGAUGCUAUCGCUUCCGCAAUACUACAGCCUAUAUGCGGCGGCCUCAUCAAUGAGUUUGCAGAACUCCUACUUUCAUAAAACUUCAACAAACGACGGUCAAUUUGACCAGAAAGUUUUGCAGCACCUCCAAUUUUUUUCCCCUUCUUAUCAACCUUCUUCUUUUGAAAAUCUCCUUGGUUGGUCGCUCUUUUUUUCCCCUUCCUAGUAGCUUGCCUUAGAUCCUGCAUGGUCUCACUUUCUUCCUCAUCAUCCAAAUCAAUUUGCCAUAUAGAUUCAUCUCUUGACUCUGGUGGUAGUACUCCAGAUGAAGGUGCCCAAGCAUGUUCACCGGUAGCAACUGUGUUCGAGAACAUCCUAUCUAACUUAUCCUCCAUCUCAGGACUAAUGCCUUUUUCCGCAAUUUUCCAUAUUCUUUGUUUAUCUACAAGUAAACAAAGAAUAUGGUUAAUACAUAUUCCAUGAUAUCAUAAUACAUAUUCAAAGAUAAAUACACAAACCUAAAUUUUAUUAUUCCACCACUCCUCAGAGGCAUCAACGGUGCCCUUGCUCGAAUUCCACCCUAGGCCAGUUUCUUUACCAAUUAGCUCUUUCCACAACUUCCACUCAAUUUUAAGUGCAUCCCACUUAUUUUUUUAGUUGUUUUCUAUCAUAAUCAUGCCCUGUCUCUGCCUUGAAGUUAGCUCUAAUAUUUGCAUAUCCAUCUUUGUCAAAGUGAGUGCCCGGACGAUGUCCGGCCUCAACCUCCUUGAUGCAAACAUCACAAAAUAUAGAUAUAUUGUGGGCAUUCCAUGUAGCCACAGGAUUUGAUGAAGAUGCCCCCUUCUUUGCCAUCGAUACCAACUACUGAAUUGUAAUAUAUAUAUAUAUAUAUAUAUAUUAUAUAUAUUAAAACAAGAACAAAUGAAAAAUUUCUGAAAAUAUUUCUUGCUUAUGGUUUCAUACUUAUAUAUAAAAGCCUAUGAGAAACAUAAACCUCUUUUUAUUGUUUUAUGCCAUAUUUCUGUGGGGAAAUUGCAAGUUUCCAAAAUUAACAAUCGAAGUAUUUUCAAUUAUUCUUUCUCUUUCCAGGAAACAAUUAAAUAUUAACGAAAACCAUAAAUACAAUACAAUAGGAACGAACAAUACCUAAGAGCAAGACGCAAGACGGAGAAGAUGAAACCGUGGCGGUGAAGAUUAAUAGACGGGAGGAAGCACAGUCUGAAAAUGCAACAUGAGAUGGAGGAUUAAUAGCAGUGUACUGGCAAGCAUCAACAGAUAGAGAGGAUUAAAAAUGGAUAUGCAAAAAUGCAGAUCCAACAACAACACACAUUUAAGUGAGUAGACAGAGUGGAACUCAAAAUUAGUCGCCAGUUCCUUACAAGUAAUUUUCAAGCGGAGUGGCUUUACUAUGCAUACAAGGUUAGAGAAUAGAAAACAAUGCUAAUUUUGUUGAUUCUUUAAACAUCUAACAAUUCUCAUGUUAUCUAAUCACACCACACCACACCACACUGGGGAGUUCAAUUCCUUCCAAAGAGAGAUUACAAACCAACAAACUGGGAAAAUGGAAGAAAACAUUGACAUAAAUGCUUCAAUCAAACAGAACCCUGAUCAUACAUAAAUAUAUAUUGCUUUGUUUAUAAAUUUGAUGUGUUUUAAGCUCUGCACUUGUAUAACCUUUUAUGGAAGGCUAAAUUGAUUUAGUGGAUGUGAGAAGUAUGUGUGAUUAGAGCAUUAGUCAUUUUAAUUACAUAGAGUCAGACUUUUGCUUUAUUCUAAAAUGCAUUUUCUAAUUGAAAGAAGACUUUUGCUUUAUCUAAUCCUAACCAACAAACACCAGAACAGACUUUGUAGUUGCUCUGUUCUGUCAUUAAUCUGUCUAAUGUUCUGUCAUUAAUCUGUCUAAUAAACCAAAUACCAUUUAAAUGCAAUCACAAAACAGAUUUAUCAAAAACAUGAAAACCGAAUUUUGUACCAAGAAAAAAAUAAUCCACCUAUUCGAGUACAGCCUCAGCGACGUCCUAAAAAACCCACUUCCUUCCAGAGAGAUACAAUACGAACACUGACAAAGGGAUGACAAAUCAGAAGCAUAGUUCAUAGAUUAGAACCAGAGCAAAGCUUUAUAAAAAACUAUCCUUUACCUAAACCCAAAUCAGAAGCAAACCUUCUCAAUUUUUCUUGUUUCCUCCACAAACCCUAAUUUUUUCCCCAAUUAUUUUUUUCCCAAUUAUUUUUUUUCCACAAACCAUAUCACCUUCCCCAAUUAAUUUUUCCCCACCCUCCAUCCCCAAUUGUUUUUCCCGACACCCAAUCAUUACUGGCAAGCAACUCGGAAACAUUUCAAAUCCUUUGCUGUGUCCACAACGAAGAAAGUGUACGCAACAUGAUCACCCUCCUAGAGGCGUCAAACGCAACAGAAGCAAGCCCGAUUUGUGCCUACAUUUUCCAUGCAGUCGAGCUCCUUCAUCCCUGGGCUCUUCCCACCCCUUUUUCCCUCUCCCAUCCCCAAAGUUAAAAAUCCAAACAAAUAAAUAAAUAAAAUUUACAAGAGAAACUUACCAAACGAACCUGGAGAACGAGAGAACAAGGGAGAACGCUGGUUUUGGAACGAGAGAACGAGAGAGAUCUGGUUUCUUGGUUCGGGUAUGAGAGAGGAGAGUAGACUGAAGGAAAGAAAAGAGGAAAAGAAGGCGAGAAGGAGAGAGAGGCGGAGAGGAGAGACUGUAUAAGGAAGGAGGGCAAUUUUGGAUUAUUGAAAAAUUCAUUAAACCUACACUGUUCACCCGUGUUUUUGGUUUGGGAAGCCGCAGCUGUUUUUGGGAAGCUGCAAAUAGCAGCUUCCCAAAAAGCAGCUUCCUGUUUUAGGCUUCUUUUCACCCUCAGCUUUAAAACAAAGCUGCUUUUGAAAAAUUUACCAAACGCCUCAAAUCCCUCUGGCUUUUUUUCACCCUAGCUUUUUUUUUAAGCACAGCCCUACCAAACUGGGGCUUAACGUGGCUCCGCCGGUGGGGGUAAGAGGUUUUGAACUCAUCACCCCUCGAGCCAAUUGAUGAUUUGGCAAAUAAACGGUUCUGGGUUUGUCUAUAAUCAUGGCUAUAGUUAAGAGAGUUUCAACUUAAACAUUUCCCUUUUACUGUGCCUACCUCGACCGAUCCUUCAACGUUGGUGCUUCUUACUAUUUCCGCAUAGUGCUUAAGACUUCGUAAAGUUUUCUUUUCUGUCAGCAGCUAAACCGUGAGCGUAAAAUGUCUCACUUAUGUUUCUUGCCAAUUUCUAGUUAUUGACAAACAUAGUUCUUCCAGCUCCCCUACUACAGAUUCAUUUUAAUCAGAAUAACCAAAUAAUAUGAUACUUUUCAAGUCACGAGAGGUUAGAUUUUGAUUAAUUGAUUAACAAACUUUUUCUAGUUUUUGUGUACCUUAUUCUGUUGAUACAAUAACAACAAAGUCUCUUCCCACUAAGUAGGGUCGGCUAUAUGAAUUUUAAAACAUCAUUGCGCUCGGUUCUAUGUGUACCUUAUUCUGUUGAUGAAUAACAAAAAUUCCUGCAACGUAAAUCUUUGAUUUGCAGGUCCGGGGAAAAGAGUCGGGGUUCGUCAUAUUAUGAAGAGAAUUUGAACCGGAGGCUUCUCCAAUUUCUUUCGGUCACAACUAACUUGUUUCCACCUUCAUCUUCUUCUGCAAAGACAGAGUAAAAGUCCAUUUGAUGAAAGGCGCUUAAUGAGAAAAACAAGCCGAUAUAGAAAGAAAACAAUGCACCCGAAGACUUUCCAAGUUUCAUACGAGAAGGUUUGUAUCACUGCUGCCUUUGCAAAUGGAAACUCUCGAUAGAUUCGCUUCCUCUAAUUAAUCUGCUGAAUAACUGUGUUACCGAGUCAUCUGCAGAAUCGAUGUGUAUAUUUGAACGUGUGAAUCAGGUUUUCGGCUUCAGGUAGUAACGCCACCGAACUACAUAACACGUGACUCGGGGCUUAUGCUUCGGGAUUUUGUAGCUGGUGAAGGUGAUUGCCCAGAGGCUGGCCAGCAGGUUUUCCUCAUGUUCUUCAAAGCUAUGAUUUUCCUUUCUGAACAAUAGUAUUUGUAAAACUCUUCUUCCAACCAUGACUUGCACUGAUUCAAGAUACCUUGUAGAUGAUGUUCCACUACGUUGGCUACAGCGAGUCAGGCCAGUAGGCCGCGGAUUGACAGCAGCUACACGCAGGGUUCUCCUGCCAGAAUCCGCAUGGGCACAAAUUCAUUGGUCCCAGGUUAAAUACGAAACCAAUUCUCGAGUUCAUAAAAUCUUGCGUUCUUUUUCCUUUGCCCUGACCCCUCUUCUCCGCCCCAAGAAAGAAACGGAGAAGAGGGAGGCGGAAAGGUAACUAGUGGUUGAAUUAGCUCAACUAGGAAGUCCUACAGGAUUUGAAGAAGGGAUUCGCGACAUGAAACCCGGAGGAAAAGAAUAAUCAUUCCACCAGAACUCGGACCACCAGUCAGUUAAUAGGGUUCAUAGAAACUCCUUGGAUUCAUAUCUUAUUUACAUUUGGCCAUGAAUACUGCAAAAUCUGAACCCUAGAGCCAGCUCUCCUUCUACUGCCAUACAACCCUGUGAGUUCUGAUCGUUGUUCGACAUCUCAGAACUCAAAAAUUGGAAGAUCCAUUGUUUGUAUUGCAGGCAGCUUGGUUUAGAAAUGGAAAACUAUCACAAUUCAUGACAUUCGAAUACUGUUGAAGUAAGAUCGUCGCGUUAGAAUUAGUCCGUACUUUUCGUGUUGAAGUUUAUAUUGUUUUUGUUGCAGAAACUAUGCCAAGUAUAUUUGCGUUCGACUUCCAUAUAUACAGUUCGAUCGGUUUUACAGGUCGGACCUUCUCCACCUUCUUCGGCUCACAACAGUUUGAAGUUUUUGAUGUGGAACUGCUAAGCGUUCAGAACUGUCAACGAAGGACAGUCCUAGCUUUUUACUCCGAUUUUGUACGCGAAUAAACUACGAGGCAAGGUAACAUUUUUCCCGUUAUCUGGCCACAUCUCCACUUCUCGAAAUGGAUUUGCAGUCGCAAGAGUUCUCGAUUGCAAUCCACCGCCGAUGCUUCGUUCUUCCGGCGAAUGUGGUCAACGCAGUUCGGGGUUUUGCUACUGUAGUUUGGAAAAUAAAUUUAAGAAUAGCUCUGGCAUUUCCCAAUGAGAACUUUUUAUGUAGUAAGUAGUAUUAUGCAAGUACAUUGUGCAAAGCUGCUACCUGUGAGAACUUUUUUGUAGCAAGUAAUAUUAUGUUGAUCUGGGGUCGUGAUCUAUUUCCCUAACUUUCGACCGUUGUGAAAUCGCUCCAGACUUCAUACGGUUUGAUAUCCCCGACACCGAGGAGUAAAGUUGCAACAAAGGCUCUCCGUCGAAAGACCAACUUAAAAGCUUUCAAAAGUGCGGUGUGGCUCAGGUAGCCUUUGGACUUUAUGUUGCAGUCCCUUCCGUUGUUGCAACAGCAGUUUUAGACCUGAAGAUCAAGGAUGAUUAUCGCAAGCCAACCAACAUACAAAGAAAAGUGGGUCAAGGAUCAAGAUCAAGGCAUGGAGACAAGAAAGGCAGGAGGUGAAGGAGCAUUUCACAAACGACUUUCAAUUGCUUUUGGAAGCAUACUUCGCAUACCAGAUACCUUGCACUUGCAACAUUAGUGAUGAAGCUUCACGAUCAAUCUAUCAAAAACGCAGGUUCAAAUCCAUCCAGAAUACUUAUCAUUACAUCUAAUUAUCAGAAACACAGAUUCAAAUCUAUCCAGCAGGCAUGAGAACCAUAAUUUGGUGUUACAGAAGAUAUUAGGGGAGAGACCACUAGAAAUAAAUGUUGGUUCACCAAACGGAAAAAAAAAAUAAAAAAAAUAAAAAAAAUAACAGACAUAAAAUCGAUUGUUCAAGAAAUAAGACAUCAAACAAACUCAUUCACCAAAAGAAAAUAACACCGAUAGAAUUGAUCAAACAGAUUUGCACUACUACGCUAGCAAUCAAUAAUGUGUGUUUAUGUAUGUCGAUCUCUCAGUGAAUAUGAUCACUAUACUCUUUCCAACAAAGUUAUUUGGAAAGAUUUAAUGGGCUAUGAAUUAAUGAUACAUCUUACUAUAACCUACCGUGGAACAGGUACAUACAACUAACACUGCAACAAGUACCAAAUCCAAAAUGAACGAGCUAUUAACUGAAAAGAUAAUUUACCGUUCUUCUGCUGAUGUUCUGUGAUAAAUAAUGGUCUCCUCUGAAUUUGGAUCCGCAUGAUAUUGCCCAUAAAAUGCAUAAGUACCAACUACAAUGAUGCUGAGGAUGACAAAUCUCACCCAUGCUUCAUGGUGUAUCUGCAAUAGAAUAAAUUCUUCUCACUCGUCUGCUUUUUUUAUUUUAAUUCUUUGAUUUCAUUCCUUUUGUUAGCAGUUUGUUUAAAGUAUAUUAUAAGUGUACCUGAGCAAAAAGAAACAUGUUGAAGAAGAUGCACACAGCUGGCACAUAUGGAACACCAGGGCAAGAAAACCCUGGGAGAUCCGCAUAAACCUGAGGAGAAAAAAAAAAUGAAAACCGGGGUUUAAAGAUAAAUGUAUAUGUAUGUAUGCAUGCAGGCAUGCAUGGAACACCAGGGCAAGAAAACCCUGGGAGAUCUGCAUAAACCUGAGGAGAAAAAAAAAUGAAAACCGGGGUUUAAAGAUAAAUGUAUAUGUAUGUAUGCAUGCAGGCAUGCACCCAUGCAUGCAGGCAGGUAAGUAUUAUAUGCAUGCAUCCCAAAGCACAUAUUGUUCACUCACUUGCCGGAAGCAAAGAGCAGCAAGAGCAAGUAUUGCCACAACUACAGUUAGGACCAGAAAAACGAUUGAAGCACUAAAUCUGUAGCAGAGCCCAGCACCAAAACCACCGCAUGCCACUAUGAAGAGGCAGAUGACACCUUCCCGCCAGGUAGAAGAAGAUACUUCAUUUGCUGCCUUACCUUUGAAACGAAGAGAAACAACACAUGCAGCAACAACAGAGUAGCCCGUCUGAACAAGCAAGAGUACAAGGUUAGGUGCAUACAACCGAAAUUAUUAGAAACAAAGAAAUACCCUAUAAUACUAAUCUUAGAAGAAGGCCCAAAAUCCAUGCAACUAUUCCUACAGUUUUACUAUUAUUCAUCACAUCAUGCCAUGCACAGUGCAACUGAAAGUUCCUCUUUAAUGAAACGGAAGUUAACAUGAUGUCGUUGGAAAUGCAUGUAUCUUAUUGCAAUGUCAAAAUAUUUGACCCAGCCUCCACCAAUAUCAAAGAAGAAUUGAACAGCCUCUCUACACCAAAAACAAAUUUGGGCAAUGACUUACCAAGGACCCAACUGAAAGAAUGUGUGAAAGAAUCUUCACAUUGAACAACCCUGCCAAAAUGCCAGAAACAAUACCAACCCAGACCUGAGAAUGAAUGGGAGUGCGGAGUUUUGGGUGUACUCUAGCAAACACUGAAGGUAGUAAACCAUCUCUUCCAAGCCCAAGAUACAAUCGAGACUGUUCACAAGAAAACCCAUAAGUUACUACAUGAUGAGAAGACACUCCAACUAAGUCACUCAUAGGGAUAAAAUGGUUCACCUGAACAUACAAACCAACUAGAAGGGUAGUCGUAAGUCCAGCAACAGCACCUACACUGAUUAAGAUUGAAACAAAUCUCAACCCCUUGGAUGUAAAAGCAUUAGCCAACGGAGCGUCUUCCCCAAGUAAAUAAAAUGGUACCAUCCCAGUGAUCACCAAACAGACACCAAUAUACAAUGCAACACAUAUUAGAAGGCUGCCGAUAAUUCCUAUUGGCAAGUCUCGCUGAAAAAUAAAUUUUAAAAAAAACAUGAUCAGAUAUUCUUAGAGAAUAAGACAGCAAGGAAGAUCCUUUCAAUAUGUAUAAACAGAAUAGUCAAUUGAUAAUUAAGUAGUUAACUCCAAAAUUUAAUCACUCCCACGGUCCCACCGGGGCAUACCUGUGGUCUCUUUGACUCUUCAGCUGAAUUAGCAACAGCAUCAAAUCCAACAUAUGCAAAAAAUACAACUGUUGCUCCUGUCAGGAUUGGUUUGAAACCAUUUGGGGUAAAUGGAGUCCAAUUUGAAACGUCAACCUCAAAAGCACCAGCGAAGAUGACAAUAAUAACAAUGAUAAUCUGCAGGACAAUCGAUAUUCUAUAAAUACACCUGCUUCAGUCAUAUAUUUUAAGUGGCGGAAUUCAUAGACCUUAAAAAAUAAAAAUAAAAAUAUAAAUGCAUGGAAAGAGCACCUUCAUUGCAGUCAUAAAUGAGUUCACGGCAGACGAUUCUCCCACACCACGACAGAGGAUUAUCGUAAGAAGUGCAAGGAGAAUUGGAGCUAAUACAUUGAUUGAUAUAGCUCCCCCAAGGAACUUUUGGCCACCGUGUCCAAUCCAGUCUGGAAUGUGGUCCUUGAAAACUGGGAAAAGUUCCAGAAUUGUGAUGAUAUAGCUUGCUAAGCUCCGGGCUAUACUAGCGGCACCAAUAUGAUAGUCGAGCAUAAGUUGUGCAAAAACAAGAAAAGCAGUGAGCUCGUUGAAAGCCGUGUAUGUGUAAAGGUAUGCUCCACCAACAACGGCAGGGAAGCGAGAUGCUAGCUCCGCGUAACAGAGUGCAUUUAACACGCAGGAUGCUCCGGCAAGAAUGAAACUAAUAGUGACCCCUGCAUCAUGAUAACAAAUUUCUUAUAGUCAAACACAAACAGAACCCAUCAUAGCAAAAAUUGGCACAUCAAAAUUCGAAAACCAUUGCACCAUUAGAGGAAAGUCUCGGACAGUGUUCAGUAGUCAAAAAUUCCCAAUUCCAAAUUCGUCAUAAAUUGAAUUUAUGAUUUUACUAGAAGAAAUGCUAAGGAGACUCUCCUAAAAUGGACUCUCUGCCACCUCACAGUUUACAUCAAUUCUCGCGGCAACAUUAUAAAACGUUGUGCCAAAAACAUGAGGCGGCAAAGGGUCCAUGAAGAGUCACUUUUGAAGAGUCUCCUCAGCAUUUCUCAGCUUAAUUGCAGCAAAGAUGUUAAAUUGGGAUUUUAACAAGAUUAAAUUACUGUUUUAUAUCAUUUCCAGACUCCAUUAGCAUAUAUGAUGCUGCAAUUAACAAAAUUUUCCAGCUUAAUCUCAGCUCAAUUACCCUACUAUGAAAAAAAAUUAAUUGAAGAGUUGCGGGUGUCGUACCAGGACCGGCGUCUUUGGCGACGGUGCCGGUGACGACGAAUAUCCCGGCUCCAAUAGAAGCGCCGACGCCGAGGAGUAUGAGGUCAAACAUGCCGAGGCGACGGACAAGGCCAUCGCCGGAGUUGGUGCGGACGGCGGAUUCUGACGGAGAGACCAAGGGUUUGGUUCUGAGAGCCGACGACCAGAAAUGCGACCAGCAUGAGGACAGCGACGAGGACGAAGACGGCGUCGUUUGGCUCUGGGUCGUCCGCCUCUGACCACCUCCCAUCGUUGCUCUGCCUCUCUGGGAUUUUACUCGGACAAAGAAAGUCUCUCUGCAAUAUAUGUGAAGAAGCAGGUCGGAAUGUGGACUGUUACUGCGCACCGAUUCAUAUUUUGGACCCACUUUUUUUAUUCAAUCCUUUCUUAUGCUAAUUUAAUGCACGUGUUUUUUUUAUAAUAAUUAUGCAUGGUAGUAUUGCGGUCUAGCAGUUUCAUUUAUGAGUAAAAUGCUUUAAGUUUGAUUUUCGUAAAUGCGAAUUUGAACUAUAUUAUUAAUAGUUAAUUAUGAAGUUAAACAUACUUUUUCUCAAUAUAGAUAACACCAUUGCUUAAAAAAAAAAUUAUGCAUGAUAUUAAAUUAUUAAUGGAAAGAGUUACUCAUUAUCUUUUGACCCACUUUUCUUAUUUAACCUUUUCUUAUGGUAAUUUAAUCAAUGCACUUAUUUUUCACAUAAUAAUUUUGAGUUGUUCUAAUUGAAAGAGUUACCCAUCAUCUUUUGACCGAUAAUUAAAGCCCGUCUUAAAAAUGUGCAAAGCCUGUGAGUCUUAUAUCAUAUCGAUCAGCGAGAUUAAGUAUUUGUAUAAACGACUAAUGUUAGCAAAAUAUGUUAUUUUUUAUCUUUGAUUAAUUUGUAUUUAUUAUUUUAGCGUAAGAAGGCAACCAAGAAAAUAAAAGAUCAUUUGCAUUUGUCUAUUUGUUGCUAUAUGGACCUGAAAUAACAACUUGGGUCAAGAAUGGGUAGUGGUGGAGCCAAUGUCUAGGCUUUGGUUGUUGCUGACCUCAAUAACAUAUAAAAUCCCUCCUUUGAAAUUUCAUUUGACCCAUAAUUGGCUAGACAAAUAAAAUAAGGAGACAUUUCAUCAAAUUUCCUUAAAUUGACACAAACCAAAAUUGUUUGUGCUCCAUUUCCCUUUAAAAAAAAGUUUAGCAUGCUAAUUCUCAAACAAGUUGAAGAAUCAAACAUACAAGCGCCUUCUCCCCUCAAAUUUCAUAUCUCCUAAAUCAAAGCUUAUCUUAUGUCCAAGUCUAGUUAGGCACCCUUUAUCGCACUUGGUUGUAUCACGAAAUCAAUCAUAUUAGUAUUUUUCUCAUCUUGGACUUAUUGGGAUUUCUAGGUUUUUGUAUUGAUUGGUUGAUUUGAAAUGAAUUUUUUGCAAAUAUAUAUAUUGGAAAAUAUAAGUAAAAGCAUCACCAAUUUUUAGAAGCUUCUAUUGUAUGGUCCUGUCAUUGUAAAUUUCUAGCUAUGCCAUUGAGAAUGGGAUAACCCGAAUUGAAAAGCCAUAAUCCUCGAUCUAGUAACGAUCAUUCUGACCAGUGAGCUGAAGAGAACUGAUUCGACCUAGUUUUCAUAGAAGUGGGAAUAUGAAAGGAUUAUUAGAAUGAGCUAUGUUCAGAUGCGAAUUAUUCUAAGGAUCAUAAUUCAUUGUUGGUCAGAUAAUGAUGAAUUAAUCGAAUAAAAGAACUAGCCUUGUGUGAAUCAAAGAUGUCGAGACUGGAUAGAGAUUGGGGAUGCAAAUUUCUUCCUCCUUGAUCUUGGACAAAAUUGCACCUACAAAACCAUUAACACCUUAGGGUCAAGGCCAAAAGCCUCACGCGCCCACGAUGAAUAGGGGGGUUUGGCCGAAGAACCUCCGAUGCCAAAGUUAGAAUUUAGAGAGAAAAGUAUUUAGAGAGUUUUUGGAGUUUUGCAAGAGUGUGGACUCAGGUUUUUAGAGAAAAUGGGGUUCAAUAUAUAGAGUAUGGCCAAUCCCCUUUGGAGAAAAGGUGGCCGGCCUUUGGGAUGUUUUUUGGGUGUAUUUUGUGGUUUAAUGUGUGAUUUAUUUGGCAAUUAAUCCAUUGAUUAGCCAAUUAACACAUUUUUAGAAAGAAAGUUUUGGAGGUUAUGGAAUGAAUAAAAUAAAUAGCUAAUUGAUUAGCUAAAAAAGGGAAAAUGAGGUAAAAGAUAUAUGGAAUGAAAUAGGUUUUGGGAGUUACCUUGAAGAAGGGAUUUGAUGAGAUAUGUUUUGAAUUCUUACCUAUUUUGGGCACUUUUGAUUUAGUUGAAGGAUGAUUGCCCGCUGCUGGCGUGUAGGAAUCCCGUUGUACCUCAAGGGUAUUUUUGUCCUCUUUUGUCCAAAAAUCCACGUGUCACCUUGUGAUUAUUUUGGCUCCACAAAUGCCCCCACACCUUUUGGGCUGCUCGCAGCAAAGGGCAGCAGGUGUAGAGAUCUUUUUGCUUGAGGAAAUAUAAGAUUGUUUCCUAUUUUGAUGUUGAUUCUCUCUUUAAUUGGAAAUUAGAUCCUUCUAGGAAAGGGAAAUAAAUUUCUCUCAAAGCCUAUUUAAGUCCACCUUAAGUGGAUUAUUAAAUCAACUUUGGAGAGCAAUUUAUUAUACCCUACAAGAGAGAGAAAGCUUAGAGGAUAUUUGUUCCCCUUCAUCUAGCAAUCUUCUACAUCUUGCCCGUGCAAAUGACCUUCUUUCGUUGCUUUCUUCGUCUUUUUCGAGUCACACCGAAGUAAGAAACAUUUAAUUUUCCUUGUCUUUUUCUUGGAUAGCCAUGCCGCAGGGCACAGUUGGGGUGGUGCGGCACGUCGGUUGGCAGAAGCUAAGAGUUGGCUCGACAUGGGCUGAGGAAGUGUUGUGGAAGAGACCAUUGCUUAAGCUACUUGGUUUGGCUAAAGAUAAGGGCAUAUGUGCGGUUCGGGCCAUGGAUUGAGACGUUGGGGCACUAUGCUAGGCGAGCCGUAUGACUCAUAUCCUUUGAGAUAAAUGAGGAGGUCGUGGGCCUUAUGGGCUGCUGAAAUGCUGGGCAUGUAGGCCUCCUGCCUGCUGGUCAGAGAGAAAAAUGAGGGAAAAACUGGUAUGGGUUGAGCUCUCAUGUUGAGUAUUAUGAAUGAUGUUGGUUGCUUAAUCCUCUUCGCUGGGAGAAAGGUAAGCUACCCCCUAGAGAAAAAGUAAAGAGGAUCAAGACAGAUGCAUUGGCUCAUCUGAAUGUUGUCAUGGGGCCUACUAUGAAUGAAGGUGGAAAGAAAAGAUCUUCCCCGCCUACUCAAGAGAUGCCGGUUGAGAAAAACUGAAGACUUCCUCCAUUCCUUAUAAAGGUCCGCCUGCUGCCGAGAGGCCUAUGAUUGACAUAACUUCUUCCAAUGGGAAGAAAAAUGAGGCUGCUAGAUCUGAGCAUGUGGCGCCUGCCAUGUCGAGAAUGACUUGUUCUAAUGGGAAGAAAAAUGAGGCUGUUAGAUCUGAGCAUGUGGUGCCUGCCAUGUCAAGAAUGACUUGUACGAUUGCUGAUAGUAUUGCUCAGUGUAGAGGUCCUAUCAUGCCCCCAGCACCGAAGUUUGUGCCAAGACGUCCAUUGGGCACUAAGUCAGGUUCUCUUUCAGAAAUGCUUGCUAUUAUGAAGAGUGAUAAGGUGGACUCUGCUGCUAAAGUGGCGCUAAGGCUCACUCAUUCUGCUGCUAAGACUGAUUCGCCUGCUGGGAAGGAGGAGACUGGUCACGUGGGCAGCGGUGAGAAAUCCACUAAGCCUACUUCUAGAGAAGUUGCUGAGAUCUGUGUGCUCUUGAAACCAGAUCUGCUUGAAGACAUUGAUGCUUGUGCCAAGUUUGUUGAUGGCGUUUAGAAAUAUUUGUUUGCUCAAGUUCCUUUGCGAAGCAUACGACCCAAUAUAGAAUGACUGCUCUGCUUACUAUGAUGCAGAUAUAGCAAGGUUGCUAAGGAGGGGUGAAUAUUAUGGCAGAUGAAGCUUAUUUCUCGGUCGAGGAGAUCAAGAGGUUAGAUUCUGAUCUCGUUGCUUUGAAGGGGUCUAAUAUUUCUGCCCCCAUUUCUCCGCAGCUUGAAACCGCUCGCCAAGAUAUUGUUGACUUGAAGACUAAGUUGGACACGAUCCAAGUUAAGUAUGAAAAUGAAGAGAAAAAGAUUAGAUGUUACAUACCUCGGAUUCAAGAUCUUGAGUUUGCAGUUUCUGAGCUUCGUUUCGCUGCUUAUGCAAAUGAUGAAGAGUAGAUUGCUGCUUAUAAUCAAGUGAUCCACUUCAAGAAGAUUGUUGAUAGGCUUGAACCCCAAGUGUUGGAACUUUAAAGUGUACUGAAUAUCAACGAAAGUCUGGAGAAUGAAGUGGAUGAGUUGCAGCGCGUCCGUGUUGGUCUGCUUGAGGAGGAUGAACAGCUGAAUGGUGAGAAUGAUGGGCUCGAGGUUUCGAAACCUUAUUUAUUUCUUCAGAAUACUUGCUUGCUUUUACUUUUGAGGCUUCCAUUGGUGAAGUAGUUGGAGAAGUUGGUGCCCAGGCUGGGGCAGCUAGAGGUGAAGCGUUGGAUGAUGCCACUGCUAAGAGCGUUGUGACUGCUAAAGGUGUGGCGAUCGAGUAGUCGUGGGAUGUCUAAGCUACUAAAGUGUAGUCUUCUAGGUAGCCUUUAGGAUUUUCUUUGUUUUUCCUUGUAGCUCUUGUUUUGCUUGAACUCCUUCAGCAUUUGCCAGUUGUUUAUAAACAUGUUUCCUUCAUUUUUCUUCAUCUUCACUUCUUUUGUUCAUGCCCUAACCUUUAGACUUUAUAGACCAGUGGCAGGCGUGCUACUUUUCUAUAAACAAACAAGCCCGUGUAGCCUAUGCAGUUGUAGGUGUUGGUGUAUAACUUUGCAAAGUUGUUAGCCAUAGGGUUGGCAUUCAGAUGCCUUACUUACAGAAGUAGACAAGUUUGUGUAACCACUAGGCUGUUAACCUUGGCUUUCUUCAAUUCCAUAGGUUGCGUAGCAAGUAUCACAACACUUUAGGACUUGGUGUAGGUUGUUUUGCGCUUGGCAGAUGUGAAGUUUAUCGACUACGUAGAAUGUCGGCAGUGGAUAAAGCUUCGUAUAUACAUGCUAGCUUGUUUAACCUUUCACAAAAAUGUGCAAUUGUAUAAGUCUAGAGUGGUUUUACUGCUCAAAGGGCAAACUGUAGACAGUUCCGGAAACCGUAGGCUACCUUAAUGCACUCGAUAACAGGUUUAGGGUUCCAAGACAACAGUCUAUAAGGCGUACUGUGUAAUGUGCCCCCUCUGUCUCUAGGGCCCGGUUCCCCGUGGAUUAGGCCAAGAGACCCAAAAUCCUUCAGUUAGCUAAGCCUUGAAAAAGACCAUUGUGGCUACUUCUAGGAAUCCCGGCGCAAGCCAUCGUGCAUCUAGUUAUACUAGGGCAUCCAAGCUCAUUCACGUCUGGAUAUUUUGAGUAUAGAGUUUAUCCUCCUGUCUUGGAGAGUUGAUCCAUGUGGGUAUCGGAGAAUUGGUUUACCCUAUCACAUUGGAGAGUAAUUAGUUUAUCAUUUCGCACUGGAGAGCAUGGUUGGUCCCUCGAGGGGCGCAAUUCUUACGAUGAGUCCCUAAGAAGGGUGCAGUCUUCUUUUGAAGUGCAGGACUGAUCAAUUGUUGUAAGCAUGCAGUCGAGCCAAGUUGUGAUUACUUCUGAACUCCUCAUUGAAAAACGAGUGAAACAAACAAGAACUUAGUUGUAAGGUAUGAACUGCAUAACAACUGGAUAAUCUUCAGCUUAUGAGGUGGUGCCCGUCAAGCUGCUUGAGUCUUCGGGCUUUGAUGUAGUAGGAUGUCACACAUGGUACUUUCUCAUAUUGUAGACGCUCCACUGCUUUUCGAUCUUUUUGUUAUUUCAUGGUGGCGAGGGUGUAAUUACUCUUUCCGCCUACUCUGUUGAUCUUAUACGGACCUUCCCAUAUGGAAUCCAUCUUUUUGGAGCCUUAUCUAGGGGCAAUGAUGAAGGCUUUUCUUAGGACUAUAUCUUCGAGCUGGAACUACCGAAUCUUGGCCCUUUUAUUGUAGCUGGAAAGGAGCCACUACUAGUAGGCUGCGAUGCAGGUGAUGGUAUGCUCGCGCUUCUCCUCUGCAAAACCUAAGCUUAUGGUCAUCUCCUUACUGUUUUACUUAAUGCUUGGAAGUAGAGUGGUGAUACUUAACUUAAUGGCAUUAGGAUGAAUGAUUGCUUUUAAGCUAAAUGCCAAAGAGAAAUAAGUCUAACUGGUUGCUCGUCUUUUAGUGGUGCGAUAUGCCCAUAGACAUCCAGGGAGUUCGUUUGGCCAUUUUCCCUUCUUGUUGGUGAGGGAUUUCUUAAGGCAGUCGAGGAUCAUCUUGUUAGAUGCUUUGGCCCGCCUAUUGAUUUGAAAAUAUCUUGGCAUGGACAUGUGCUGCUUGAUGCCAUAUUUUUGGAAGAGCUUCGCCAAAUCUUUGCCUACAAAUUACGGGCUGUUAUCGAUGACGAUGGAUUGAAUGAUGCCAAAUCGACAAAUGAUAUUCCUCCAUAUGGAUCACUCUAUGUUCGUCUGAGUUGUGGUUGUCAUGGGCUCUACCCUUACCCAUUUGGUGAAGUAGUCGGUUGCCACGAUCAUUAUGCAUCUGGCCCCAGUAGCAGGCUACAUAGUUUCUACCAGGUCGAUUGCCCACCGUAUGAAUGGCCAAUGACUUGUCUGCGGGUGUAGCUCACUGGCAGGCAGUGUUAGUACCGACUUGUAGCGUUGGCAACUGUCACACUUUUGUACUAACUCCUUAGCAUAUCGGUGCAUGGUAAGUCAGCAGUAGCCUGCAUUAAGAGCCUUCUAUGCUAAGGAUCGACCUCCGGAGUGAUUUCCAUAAACGUCUUCGUGGAUUGAGCUUAGAACCUUCAGGUUAUCGGGAGGCGCUAGGCAGCAGAGAUCUGUGACACCUCAGCUGCUGACUUCGCCUCUAUGAUUGGCUUGUCUAGAUACUCCAUCUGAAUAGAGCGUUUGAGUUGGUGGUCGAAGACGGAGCCUAAGCCAGCUAGUGCGUCCAUGUGAACGUUAUCUGCUUGUAAAACUUGAGUGAUGAUGUAAAUCUGAAACGCCUCAAGUAAUCUGGCUAGUGAUUAGCUGAGAAUCAGAAUGAAUUGUGAACUUUUUUACUGCCAAGUCUUUUUCUAUUCAGAUGACUGCUAGUAGGGUCUCAUACUCUACUUCGUUAUUGGAUGCUUUGAAGCUUAGAGUGAUCGUCUGGGGUGACAAGGACUACGCUUGCUUUCGAACCUUUGUAGUUGGAUGCAUCAUCAACAUGCAAAUGCUAGAAAUCUCCAUCGGGUGAGGCAGGCUCAGCUAGGGUGUGCUCAACUACUUUCAGGGUGUCGUUAAGCCGCUAUGUUGCCUCAUGAAUGCUUGGUAGGGAGUUGUGGAGCUAAGACCAUGUUACAUGUAGCAGGAGAUGCUCAAUUGUCGGUAUUGAACCAUUCUAGAGCUAAAUUAUGGAGCAAAGGUCGGCUAGGGUCGUGUGACGCGUAACAAAAAGUGGUGCUCAACUGCCGGUACAUGUUGCUCUUAUGUAGAAUCUUUUGGGGCGACGAAGACAAAACUUGCUUUCGAAUGUGUGCUUCCAGUGUUCGUCUACCCUUGGCGUGUCUUUUGGGUCGAGUUGUUGCUUUCAUCAGAAAACUUUGCAUUCACCAAGGUCUACACCUUUAUGGUCGCGCAUCUGGAUUGGGCAAAAUAGUGCGUCAUGAGGAUGACUGCGUGUGUUUCAAGGUAAAACUUGAGCUUCCGGGUUGUAACAACUAUCGCCAAAGUUAGCUUUUGAGUUUCUGAUAGCUUCGAGGAAAGUUUUUGAACUGUGGAAUACAGGUAGUCGGGCCCCCAACUCUUCUCGUAUGAUGGUAGAGCUUAUUGCUGCUUUAGAUACAGUCAAACUUACCACUAAGUCCUAUGUUGCUUCCGGUUUGGAUAAUAGGGAGGUGAUGCCAGAUACUUCUUCAAGUCUUUGAAUGUGCAUUGGCGAACCUCGUCCCAAAGUGCAUGUUGCUCUGCCAGAGCGAAAGAGUUUGCCAGAGUUAGAUCUUCUUUCAUGAUCAAUUUUCCGAAUAGCGGGUGGUCUAUUGGAAAUCCUUUUUGAAAAACUGCUCUAGCUAUCAAGUUGUUGCAUCUGACUAUCCUUACCUUCUUUGCUUUGAACCUCUUCACAUAGUUGCGAAGCGACUCCUUUGGGUUCUUCUUGAUGUUGAACAAAUGGUCGGACUUCUUCUUGAUCGAGCGAUAUGAUGAAUAUUCUUUGGUGAAAAUCAAAGAAAGUUGGUCGAAACUCUGGAUGGAUUGUGGCGGCAGGGUGUAGAACCAAUCUUGCACAUCGCCUUGUAAUGUGGUGGUGAAUAUCUUGCACAUGAGAUUGUCAUUGUUUCGACAGAUGAUCAUUGUGUUUUGGUAGUGCUUUAAGUGUCUCUCCGGGUCUUCAUCCAUUUUGAAAGAUGUGAAAUGUAGCAUGCUAAACUCGCGUAGGGGCUUUGCCUACUCGACUUGUCUGUGAAUGGUGACCUGCUUAUGUUGGUCAUGUUCUGUUGUAGUGCCUCAUCGGUGACCUCGUUGCGUUGGAAACUACAUAAUCGCUUGGUCAAAAGUCUCUCUACUUCUUCCUGAAUUUACCUUUAUUGAGGUAGUGGAGCUCUCGGUUGCCCCCAACCGUGACUUAUUGGUCUAGGCUGCUCUUCCAUGUGUUUGGCUCGUCUAUGUCGCGGAUGUAGUGUGUGUAGCGCGUUCCUAGCAGGCGAGUGAGUUCUUCGCAUGUUGCAUGUUGAACUUGAGCAAGAUUGAGUAACUGCUUCUCUCUGUCCGUCAUGUUGCCUACUCCGAUGUGAGGUGGUUGAUGCUCAUUGAGGGCUUGGCCACGAAUGAACACUUUACCUGGAAGGUUGCUCAUGUUGACUAUCGGAGUGUGACCCUAACCGUGAAUGUAUGCUCGUUUGUGGGCUUAGUUGAGAGUGCACGCUCCUCCGCGCUCUAAAUCGAGAGUUACGCUAUCUCGGGGGCCCAAUCAGGAGUGUACACUGCAUGAACACUCAAUUCAUGGCUGGUCGAAUGGUUGCUUACCGGGAUGCUGCUGGAGAGGUUCUUUGUCUGCCCUUAUCCUACUUCGGGACACCUUAUCUAGGGCACGUUGUAUCUCGGUGCGUUGCAAAAGCUGGUUCACCAAGGUUGUCUGUUGUGCAAGGGCGUUGGUUAACUCUAUAACUUGUCGAGACAAGUGUUGUUCUCCAUUUGGGUUGGAAUAGCUUGGAAGGAAUGCAUUUCCUUGAGCAAUAGAAAUGUGGUAGACUUUGGGCGUGAGAUUUAAGUUGGGAAAUGUCAAAUUCGAAGAAAAAUGUGGUGAAAAUGCUUCCAGUUCGAUCGUCGAUCUGGAAAUUUGGAACCUGGACGGUUGAACUAAUCUUGGAUCAAUUUGGGCUGCUUGGAAGGCCAUGGGAGUAGGCUGCUCGGCGAGAGCAGGCUGGGCCACAAGAGCAGGCUGGGUCGUGGGAGCAUGUUGCUCAGUGUGUGAUGCAUGCGAGUGCAAGGCUUGGGUCAUGACUUUGGUGCCAUGUGCCUUGGAUGGCACUGCUUGGGCUUGGGCCCGUGUAAGCUUGGAUGGCACGGCUCAGGACAUGGUAGUGCUGACAUGGACCUCGCUGCGGGUAGUGGUGACCUUGGUGGCCACCAUGGUGGUUGCCAUGGUGGAGCCCCGUAACGACGGUGCCGCUCCUAUGAUCACAUUUAGCCUCGUGGAUCACCAUGGUCCCAUUUCUUGAAUAUUGGAAUUUUCACUUAUGGAAUUUUCUAAAUUUCUAGCCAUUAUAUUUAUCUUUUACGUUUUAUCAAAGAAUCCUUGCAAAAAAAAAUUCUAAUAAUAAGAACGUAUGAAAAAUUUACAAAUGGACAAGAAAAUAGAAAAACCUUUUUAUGCGGGAGUCUUCUACUAGUGUGUGACUCUUCUCUCAAUGAAAGCACCAAUUUGUGGAUGCAAAUUUCUUCCUCCUUAAUCUUGGACAAAAUUGCACCUACAAAACAAUUAACACUUUAGGAUCAAGGCCAAGAGCCUCACACGCCCACGAUGAAUGAGGGGGCUUUGACCGAAGAACCUCCGAUGCCAAAGUUAGAAUUUAGAGAUAAAAAUGUUUAGAGAGUUUUUGGAGUUUUGCAAGAGUGUGGACUUAGGUUUUUAGAGAAAAUGGGGUUUAAUAUAUAGAGUAUGGCCGGUCCCUUUUGGAGAAAAGGUGGUCGGCCUUUGGGAUGUUUUUGGGUGUAUUUUGUGGUUUAUUGUGUGAUUUAUUUGGCAAUUAAUGAAUUAAUUAGGCAAUUAAUCCAUUGAUUAGCCAAUUAACACAUUUUUAGAAAAAAAGUUUUGGAGGUUAUGGAAUGAAUAAAAUAAAUAGCUAAUUGAUUAGCUAAAAAAGGGAAAAUGAGGUAAACGAUAUAUGGAAUGAAAUAGGUUUUGGGAGUUACCUUGAAGAAGGGAUUUGAUGAGAUAUGUUUUGAAUUGUUAUCUAUUUUGGACACUUUUGAUUUAGUUUAAGGAUGAUUGCCUGCUGCUCGCGGGUAGAAAUCUCGUUGUACCUCAAGGGUAUUUUGUCCUCUUUUGUCCAAAAAUCCACGUGUCACAUUAUGAUUAUUUUUGGCUCCAUAAAGAUGAGUCUUGGCUAAUGAGAGAAUUAAAGAGAUGAAGAGAGAAUAUUUAGGAAAAUGCCAUAUAAGAGCAACGCCAGCGUUGCUGGUUGCUCGGGCGACAGGCGAGGAGAAAGGGCCCGAGGCCCGGUGGGAGGAGCUCUAGCGGUGAAGGGCCCGAGUGAGGGUGGGAGCCCGAACGAAGGGGGGGUGGGGAGUCGACGGGCCUAUGGCCCGAGGGCUUUGCAAUUUUUUAUUUUUUAUUUUUGUGUUAGAGAGAGAGAGAGCUUUUGUAAUUUUUUAUUAUUUAAACAAAUAAAAAAACUAUUAUUUUAAUUGCUUAUUGCCAGGGGGAGGGUUCCAAGGGUGGAGAUGUAAAUGGCAAUUACGGUUCAUUAAUGGUAAUUACUAUUCAUUUAAGGCAGUUACUGUUCAAUAGGGUGGAUUGAAUAGUGGAUUGCCAGGGGAAGGGCUCCAUGGGUGGAGUUGCUCUAAUAGAAGAGGUUCUGCAACGUGGAAAGCCACGUUCAACUCAACAAACAACUCAAAUGCUCUACACGAAAACUCUCUCUCUAUGAAACCCUUUCUCUGUGAAACCCUUCUACAUCCCAAAGAAAGAAACUAACUAUCAUAACCCUUAUGUCAACACAUCUUUAGUUUGGAUUAGCAAUCAGCAGUGUGUUGACAACCGGUGAAACCUUCAGUUUGGAUAAGUAAAUAACACUGGCGCCAUAGAAUCAAGCAGCAUAUGAGCACCUUCAGUUUGGACAAGUAAACAACAUUCCUUCUAGGUUGGUUGGUUAUCUAUCCAAGUCUCAGCAGGCAAAGAAUUCUUAUUUCUUUCGCUCAAAGAGGUCACUUAAUCCCAACCAAGUAAAGUGUUUUAUGAUUAGUUACUCUCAGGUGCAUUGUGCAAUUCGGCAUUCAGACAGUCAAACCUCGUUCACUAUCAAAACACCCUUACAACUUGAUACCAAUCCAAUGCACCUAUAUUAUCAAGAAUAUAGUUAAGACAACCAAACUUGGCGCAAGAGAUCCUGAACUUUGUAGUGAAUUAAACAACCUUGUCAUCAAGUUUUAGAACCCAGGCCCAAGGGGAGUUCCUUUCUCGUCCGUAGUCAUUCAAGUGCAGAAGUCAGCGACGCAUUCGAUACCACCACCACAUGUAUUAUAGUCGCCCAAUCGUGCUCGGUUGCGAUUUGGCACACCCACAUUCACAAGAAUGACGUAGUUAGUUCAUAGUUAUUCGACUUGCACAUUACACAAGCUUUGUAAUUUCUAGGGUAAACAGUUGCUCGCCAAAAACAGUGUUAAAAAGGUAACGCAGUGACCUAAUAAAUCGUAGAUGCUUAAGAAAAAAUAUAUAUUUUUUUUGGAAUCACUGGUCUGACUCUUCAGUUGCUUUGAGCGGGAGAAGAAGUAGGUUGAAUUGUUGGGCACAAUCCAGGAUCUAAAAUGUAGUCUCGAUCGCCUAAUUGUAAUUUACUCGAAUGAAGGUAUUUUUUCUUUCGGUUGUAAUCAUUUUCCUAAUCUAUAUAUAAUCUAUACUUUAAAAAAUAUUAACUUUUCUUAGACAAUCGAUCACUUAAAAGUGGAAGGUAUUGGAUUAAUAUUUGGUUCACAUUACAAAAGCUUCAUUAACUACAAAACUAAGAUCAACCAGAUGACAUUGUAUUGAAAUGAAGAAAAACAAUUAUGUAUAUGCAUUCUGAUGCGAGUUCGAUCCUCACAAAUUCUCAUUUUUCUAACAACUCAGUGCUCCAAAGAAAAUCAAAAAGGCCAAAAAAUCCUUUACAAGGGCAUUGCUCCACCUCCAUUAUCAAAAGAAACAUAUAAACACCACAUGUAACUUAAGAAAUACAACUUAAACAUAAUAAUGGUUUUAGGAAAGCGCAGCUUGAAUAAUGGAAGAAGGUAGUGAGCCAAAGAGGAUGAUUUUGUUGUGUAAACUACACAAGAAAUAGGAAGAAUGGACGCUUAGCGUUUCAUUUUGUGUUGGUGAGUAAAUAAUUGGAUACAUUAACAAUUCAGGGAUUUGGCUACCGUAUUUAUGUGUUUAAUAUAAUUACUAUUUAACCAUCAGAAAAUAAUUGUAUCAAUCCUACAACUAGGUUGAGUUUGCGAUAAAUUUAAUUGACCUUUUAAUCUAUCAAACUCUAAUCUGAAUCUAAUUCGAGUAAGUAUUACAUACAUGUAACUGUAGUUUAAUUCAAAAUUUAAAUAUAGAUAAAUAUUAGGUUUAUUAUAUUUGUUGUGCGGAAGCGGCAUCCGACUGUAAGUGAAAAAGUAGAAAACAGAACAAAAUACAAAAUACCAUCAACAAGAACACCAAGAUUUAUACUGGUUCGGCAAUGCCUACAUCCAGUUUGGAGAUAACGGAGUAUUCCACUAUAAUCAAUGAGAACAUACAAUAGUGUUUAUCACUUAAUUUCCCAAAGACCCAAAUAACCCAAGCUCACACACUUCCAAUAGGAAGGGAACAAAAAUACAAAGCAAAACAAUUUGAGAAAAUUCUUUUCUCUGCCGAAUGGCUUCUUGCUCUUUCUCCUCACUGUUUUCUACGGGCUGCUCCUGCUUCCUUUUAAAGCCAAAGAAAAUGGCUCCUCAAAGAAACCAAUGGCCAAAGGCCUUCCAUCAAGUCAAAAGAAUUAGGCAUAAGUGCAUCCCUUUUUUUUGUUUGUCUCCCACUACCACAAAGUAGCCGAAAUUUUUGAUCUUUGACUACAUUGUUUGAGUCAAUAAUCAACAAUCUCCACCUUGGCUCAAACCCUCUAAGUAGAACUCCUAAUAGUCGUCUCCCAAUCCCCCAUGGGGCAAUCAACAAAUUUUACAAAUGCCAAUCAAGUCUAAGCAGUGCUUAAACUUGUGCAUUGAAACUGGCUUUGUUAACAUAUCCGCAGGAUUGUCAGCGGUCCCAAUCUUCUGAAGAAGAAUAUCUCCCUCGUCAAUAAUCUCACGAACAAAAUGGAACCUCACGUCAAUGUGUUUCGUACGUGCAUGAUGAACUUGAUUCUUUGCUAAAUGAAUAGCACUCUGACUGUCGCAAUGAACAUUCACAUGGUCUUGUUGAACCCUUAAGUCAUCAAGCAACCCUUGAAGCCAGAUGGCUUCCUUUAUAGCUUCUGUUACAGCCAUGUAUUCUACCUCAGUAGUCGAAAAAGCAACUGUAGAUUGCAGAAUCGACCUCCAACUUACUGGACCUCCAGCAAUAGUGAAUACAAAACCAGUAGUGGACCUACGCUUGUCCAAAUCACCUGUGUAAUCAGAAUCCACAUAUCCAACAACACAUUGACCAGUAACUUUAUCCUGCUGGAACAAUAAACCAACAUCCACAGUACCCAGAAUAUACCGUAGAAUCCAUUUCACAGCUUGCCAUAUAUCUACUGACAAUACUAACAGCUUGUGAAAUAUCAGGCCUAGUACACACCAUAGCAUACAUCAAACUACCAACAACAUUUGCAUAAGGAAUUUGAGCCAUUUACUGACUCUCUUCAAUAGUUUUAGGAGACAUAGAAGUGCUAAGUUUGAAAUGAGAGGCAAGAGGUGUACUAACCGGUUUUGAAUUUUCAUUCAUCCUGAAACGUUGUAGUACCUUCUUCAAAUAUUGCUUCUGACACAGACUAAUCUUGCCCUUCGCUCUAUCUCUUUCAAUUUCCAUACCUAGUAUCUUCCGAGCUUCUCCCAAGUCCUUCAUCUCAAAUUCAUUACUUAGUUGAGUCUUCAACCUUUUAAUCUCCACUUGGCUCUUACAUGCUAUAAGCAUAUCAUCAACAUAUAAAAGCAGAUAAAUGAAGGUUCCAUCUUGUAGUUUGCGAAAGUAUACAUAAUGGUCAUAGUGACUUCUUGUGUACUUUUGCCCAAUCAUAAAUCGAUCAAAUCGCUUGUACCAUUGUCUUGGAGACUGCUUUAAGCCAUACAAUGAUUUUUCCAAUUUGCAAACCCAAUUUUCCUUUCCAGCAACCUUAAAACCUUCUGGCUGAGACAUAUAAAUUUCUUCCUCCAAAUCACCAUGUAAGAACGCAGUCUUGACAUCAAGUUGGGCCAACUCAAGGUCAAACUGCACAACCAAAGCCAACAAAAUACGAAUAGAAGAAUGUUUUACUACAUGAGAAAAUACCUCAUUGUAGUCAAUGCCUUCUUUCUGAGCGUAGCCUUUAGCUACCAAUCUGGCUUUGAAUCUUACAUUGUCUUUUCCCAAAGAUUCCAUCUUUUUGGCAUACACCCAUUUACAACCAAUUGCUUUCUUCCCCUUUGGUAACUGAACCAGAUUCCAAGUCUCAUUUUUAUGAAGAGAUUUCAUCUCCUCAUCCAAAGAUUUCUUCCAAACUCGCAGUCUGAACUCAUGACAGCUUCUUUGUAGGCGGAUGGAAUAUCAUCUUCAAUAACAGGAAGUGCAUAUGCCACAAUAUCAGUAAAUCGAGCAGGCUUUCGAAUUUCCCUUCUUGAUCUUCUAGUUGAAAUAUAGUCUUGUUGCUGUGGAGGCUCUUGGGUAAGUGCUUCCUCUUCAUCAUCCUCGUCCUCAUCAUCAGAAUUAACUGUAGGACUAGUGGUUGCAACAUCAGACCUUACUGGAACGACUGGAGUCUUCAGUAACUCCACCUGCUUUGAGCUACUCAUGGUCUCGGUUGCUUUAGUUUCACCUUCAUGCUUGUUCUGAUUAACCAUAGCAGCCUCAUCAAAAGUCACAUCUCUGCUUACAACAAUUUUCUUCUCAUCUGGACACCAGAUUCGGUAUCCCUUCACGCUAGUGCUAAAGCCCAUAAAUAAAGUUUUCUUUGCUCUUGGAUCCAACUUGCUUUCUUUGACAUAAUAGUAAGCAGAACAACCAAAUAUGUGUAAAAACUUGUAAUCAGUACAAGGUUUACUAGACCAUACCUCCAUGGGCGUUUUGCCCUCGUUCGCAGCGGCUGGCAAUUGAUUAAUGAGAUGACUUGCAUAAGUAAUUGCCUCAGCCUAAAAUGCCUUGCCUAAACCAGCAUUAGACAACAUACACCGGACUUUCUCAAGCAAAGUACGGUUCAUGCGCUCCGCCACUCCAUUCUGUUGCGGUGUCUCCUUAACCGUGAAGUGUCUCACAAUACCCUAAUCUUGACAAACUUUCAAGAAAAAAUCAGAUUUAUAUUCACCCCCAUUGUCUGAUCUGAGAGUCCUGAUAUGAGAGUCUUGAUCUUUCGACCGCUUUGCGUUUCAAUCAUCUUUUUCCACUUCAGGAAUAUCUUCAAGACUUCAUCUUUACGCUUCAUGGUGUACACCCAUAUUUUUCUAGAGAAGUCAUCAACAAAGGAGACAAAAUAAUGGCUACCUCCCCAAGAUGCAUUCUUGGAAGGCCCCCAAACAUCAGUGUGAACAUAAUCAAGAAUGCCUUUAGUGUGGUGAAUAGCAGUGCCAAAUUUUACUCUAGUUUGCUUACCCAACACACAAUGCUCACAAAAUUCCAAUUUGCAUGCCUUUGCACCCUUCAAUAUGCCUUGCUUCACUAAUCCUUGUAACGCUUUUUCACCAGCAUGCCUAAGACGCAUAUGCCAUAACCUCGUGGUCUCUGUGCUAUUUUCGUCAGCAGCUUCGGUGACAGCUGCUCCACCAAUAACUGUAUUCCUCUGCAAGAAAUACAAGUUAUUUCGUCUUAUACCUUUCAUCACCACCAGUGCCCCGUACACAGCUUUAAGAACUCCACCCUCCAUGGUGAUCUUGAGACCCUUGGAUUCCAAUGCACCCAGUGAGAUGAGAUUUUUCUUCAUAUCCGGUACAUACCGAACAUCACUUAAUUCUCUGACUGUGCCAUCAUGCAUCUUCAAACAGAUUUUGCCUAUCCCUUGUGUUUUGCAGGCAUUAUUAUUACCCAUCAAAACAACUCCACCAUCCAGCUCCUCGAAAUUAGAAAACCAUUCCCGAAUAGGACACAUAUGAUAGGUGCAACCUGAAUCCAAAAUCCACUCAUUGGAGUGACCAUCAGCAUAUGAACUAGCCAAAGCAAACUCGAAAUCAUCAUCAUCUCCAGAUUUUGCAAUAUUUGCUUCAGAACUCGCUUUCUCCUUCUCUUUGUUCUUCAAUUUGGGGCAGUCUUUCUUCCAAUGACCCUUUUGGCGACAAAAAGCACAUUCAUCUUUUGCAGGAAACUUCCCUCGUGACUUUGAACGAGAUUUUCCCCGCUUUCCAGAUUUUCUUUCCUUUGUUCGACCCCUUGCAACAAAUGCCUCGGUUUGUGAAUUGUGAGUCUUCAGUUCCUUCUUACGACACUCAUGAUUCACCAAUGUCGCAGACACCUCAUCAAGUUUCACCUCGGAUUUUCCAUACAACAGAGUAGUUGUCAAAUGAUCAUAAUCAUCAGGCAAUGAAUUUAACAAACAUAGUGCCUUGUCCUCGUCAGGAAUUUUCACAUCAAGGUUUGCUAAAUUAGCAAGUAUUUUAUUAUAAUCAUUGAGGUGUUCGUGCAUAGAGAUACCUGGACGAUACUGAAAUCGGAAGAGUCGCUUCUUCAAGAAGAGACGAUUUUCUGCGCUCUUGGUCAUAUACUUCUCCUCCAAUUUCGUCCAUAACUCCUUAGCAGAAGUUUCCUUCAUAUACGGGUAUUUCAACUCCUUAUCAAGGAACGAUCGAAUAGCAGCACAAGCAUGAAGAUUAAUUCGCAUCCACUGCUUGUCAUCAAUAUCUUCUGGUUUAUCUUCGAGAACCAUAUCCAACUCUUGUUGAUACAACACAUCCAUAAAUUCACAUUGCCACGUACCAAAAUUAUUAGAGCCAUUGAAUUUAUCAACCUCUAACCUUGUAGUAGUAGUUGGAUGUCUAUUAGAUGAAGACGAUGCUGACCCCUUCUUUACAGAUUCAUCUUUAUCUCCAGCUAUCUACUCGGCACUAUUCACAAAUACUGCACUGUUCACAGGCACAAUACCGUUCACAAAUCCUGUAGCAGUUCACUGUUCACGGACUGUAGCGCCAACACUAUUCACGGAACUGGGCUCUAGUACCACUUGUUGUGCGGAAGCGGCAUCCGACUGUAAGUGAAAAAGUAGAAAACAUAACAAAAUAAAAAAUACCAUCAACAAGAACACCAAGAUUUAUACUGGUUCAACAAUACCUACAUCCAGUUUGGAGACAACGGAGUAUUCCAUUAUAAUCAAUGAGAACAUACAAUAGUGUUUAUCACUCAAUUUCCCAAAGACCCAAAUAACCCAAGCUCACACACUUGCAAUAGGAAGGGAACAAAAUACAAAGCAAAAACAAUUUGAGAAAAUUCUUUUCUCUGCCGAAUGACUUCUUGCUCUUUCUCCUCACUGUUUUCUACGGGCUGCUCCUGCUUCCUUUUAAAGCCAAAGAAAAUGGCUCUUCAAAGAAACCAAUGGCCAAAGGCCUUCCAUCAAGUCAAAAGAAUUAGGCAUAAAUGCAUCCCUUUUUUUUGUUUGUCUCCCACUACCACAAAGUAGCCGAAAUUUUUGAUCUUUGACUACAUUGUUUGAAUCAAUAAUCAACAAUAUUAACAUCCCAUAAAUUGUUGAAUAAACUCCACAUACUUAAUAUACGUCAUAUUUGCUUUUUCAAUGAAAAAUUAUCUUAAUACACCCCACAUAUUUCCCCAUAAUACCCUCACACUUCACAUUCUCAAUAAACACCUUACAUUUUCUACGUGCACCCCGUAUCUUUUAUACACCCCACAUUUCUCAAAUCUUAUAAAGCUUUUAAUUUGGACAAAAAAUCCCGACUGGAAUUUUGACAAAAGAUGCUUUCUGGGAUUUAAAACAUAUGUGGGUUUAGGAAUUUUGACAAAAGAUAUUUUCAAUUCCACCAUUAAAACCCAUGUCGUCUGUCUUUAAUAUUUAAUGGUAAUUUUAGGUGUUUAAUUCUUCAUGUAAUCCUUGUGAUCCCUAAAUGAUGAAUACGAACAUAGAAACUUGAUAACGCAACAAAAGUAAGAUUAAAUAAUUAUCGAUGUCGUCAAAAUCACUACAACAAUAAAGAAUAUGAAGUCUUACCUCAUGUGAAGCUUCCGAAACAUCGAUUUCAUGUUUCAUUUGUCAAAAAUAUUUUUUCUCAAUCAACAUGUUUGUAGUUUCAUUGGUUAGAGUUUUGUUCAACAAUGGAGGAUCGGAGAGAUUUUGAUAGUUGAAGAAGAUAAAUAAUACGUUAAAAGUAAUUUGGGUUGUAUUUAGAUUUUUUUUUAAAACCUAAUAAGGUCAAAAUUGACACACCCCGAUCCGGAGGAUCCAGGUGUGCUGGCCGUCACGAGGGCGUGACGUAACCAUAAGCACGACACGGAAGCGGAAAAACAACAUAAAUCAGCAGAAUUUCAAACCAAAUUCAAACAUAACCACCUACGAACAUAACCGGACGAGUUUACAAGUAAACACAUAAGUUCAGAGCAUAGGUUAACUGCAGUCAAGUCGGACUAAAAUGAGAAUACAUCACCCUCAGGUGAGUCCUACAUGUCCCAAAUCUGUCAGAAAGCCGGAAAGGACCUCGUGAGCCAACCACCGCUAAACUAGAACCUGGAGGGGCGCAAAACAAAAUGAGUGGGUCAGUAAAACAAAUUAGUUUUCCAAAACAUUUCAUUAAAACAGUUAUAUCCCCUCGCCGUAAAAACCUGUAUACUUUCCCAGAAAUAUAUAACCAUAUAAAAUCUCAACAUUUAAAUCUCAAAUCUUUAACAUUUUCAAGAAAACAUGCCAUGACAUAAAUCAAAAUAUAAAUCAGGUGAAAUAAGGAAUCAAUCGGAGACCCUGCAGUUGGUCCUAUACGAUUAAUUCAAUAGCUCAAAUCCCACUAAGCCGGAGUCACCCCAGUGACCUGUACGACCCUACUCUGCACAUCACUCGGAACUACGUAAGGUAGUCUAUACGAUGAAAGGUGUAAAAAUACGCUCUAGUGCUUCUCUCAUCAUAUCAUCAGCGCGCAUAACUAAGGUCACCCACUAGUCGGAAUCACGCCUAGUGAUCUGUAUGACUAGCAUGUCGGAACCCUCACAUGGUCUGUACGACAUCCACCUACUUGGAUCCAAGGCGAGCGUGCGGUGUGGUGAAUAAUAUAAGCACUAACACCUAGGGUGCAGAUUACGAGCUCAAAUUAUAUCGAUAUCAACCAAUUAAAUGCAUAAAUGAACUCACCUGACUUACCUUUGCCUCCACAGCACCAUGCAAUAAGUAUGCAUCAUAUAUCAAUCACAUAAUUCAUAAACCAAUUCAUGAUUUUCAAAUAGUUCUAGGCAUGGCAUGUUCAAAACAUAUUUUCAUAUAAAAACAUUUUUCUGGGAAAAACAGUAGUAUAUAGGUAAUACGAAAACAAAACUGCCCACUCACUGAUAAGUCGACAGGUCGUAACCCCCGUGGCGUCCCUGGAUGCGGUCGUCCUCGGGAUACGUCUCACCUAUAUGCGAAACAACUAUAAAAACAUUAAUUUUAAGCAUAUCACCAAUAAUUCGAAAUAACUUCUCAUACGAUGCUCAAUUUUGGUAUAUGAAUAUACCACAUCGACCUACUCGACGUCACGAGCGUCGAGAAAUUUUCAGAAAAAUUUUUGGAAGCCCCACGCGCCACACGUGGCACGGGUCCAUGCGCUGGCCACGCGCAGCACGUGCAGCGCACGUGUCGUCUUCUUCGUAGGGCCUCGCCGGACUGGUUCUCCGGUGGCCGGACUCCGGCCGAACUCCGGCCGAUUUUCAAACUCACUGUUCUCCUUCGUUUUUCACCCAUUUUCUUCGUAUUUUAUACCAAAUUGAAGCCCUAAGAGUGUACUAUCACGUUGGACUAGUUUUAUGGCCUAAAAACUACGAAAUCUCACCUUGCAAAAACCAAAGAUUCGGCCAAACUUGAAACCUACGAUCCCGACGUCCAAAACUCUCCAACGAACGUCCCCGAGCUUCCUUAGGACCUCCUAAAGCUCACCACAAGCUUGAAAUCUCCUGAAACACAACAUUUUACGCUCGCAUGAACAGUACCUCAAAAAUGGAGGUUCGGGAUCUACGUGAAAUCGAAGGUUUCACUUCCUAAAACUAGUACCAAUGAACUCAGGACGUCAAAACGAUGAAGAUACAUACCUCGUUUGCCUCGAUCCGUUGAGUUUUGAAGGAUUUUGGGUGUGUGCCGUACGAUGGGUGUGUGUGUGGGUGUGAAGUCGAGAGAGACAGAGACAGGGAAAGCACGGGGGAAGGAGAGGGAGAGAGAGAGGUCCUUUUGUGGUCCCAGUUAAUCCACACCUUCCAUUUUCAUCUUAACCAUACAACAAUAAAUAAAAAAAAAGGUCAAACUUUCAAUAUUAUCCAACUUACUAAAAUAAUUCUUCCAACUUAAUUAACAUCGAACCAAAAUAACGUCACAAAACAUACGUACCUUAAUGCCCAAUAAGGGCAAAUCCGUCCUUUCACAUUCCCGUCAAAAGUACCUCCGGGACGGGCUGUGACAAAAAUUGUCAUUGCAUUGCAUGGUAGGGUAAAUAAAUCAUUUAAUAUUAAAUUUUAAUGUGGGAUGCAUUCAACAUUUUGUGAGGUGCUAAUAUAAAAAUCCUAAAUAUAAUAAAAGAAGGUAGCUACUAAAGAAUUUUUUUUUUCAAGUUUCAAAUAAAUCUGACAAUAAUCUAAUUCAAUGCAAAUAUGAAACAUCCGUUAGGUUUCAUAUUUUGAGGUUGGAAUGGCCGAAAAGUAAUAACUUAAAAGUCGAAAUACAACCCAAAUCUACUAAGUAUGGAUAGUCAUCUUCCAUGUAAGUAAGAGAUCUUAGGUUUGAUUCUUGUUAAAUACAAAUUCGAACUAAAUUAUUAUGACUAGUACAUUGUGAGUGUUAUGAUACAUUCUUUGGGUUUAAUUUUUUGAGGUGGGAUGGCCGAAAAGCAUAUUUUGAGCUUGGAUCUCAUCACAUAUUAAGUCAAACUUAGUUGGGUUUUAACCAUGGAAGAAAAUGCCGAUAAUAUCGGCGAAAUAUUGUCGAUAUUAUCGGUUUUUCGGGUGAUGGAUAUUCUAAGUGGUAUCCGAAUGGUUUUCGGCCAAAUAUCGUGAUAAUAUCGAUAAUAUCGCGAUAUUACCGAUAUUAUCGUAAAAGUUUGGACGGAGAAGAAGGCCGGAGGUUCUACAGCCUCGCCGGAGAUGGGUGUGACUAUUCCCGAGCCGAUUUCAUCCCAAAAACCUUGCAAAAACACGAGAUAGAACUUCAAUUUCACAUCUAAGCUUCAAUCUAGAACAGAUUCAACAGAAAAAGGUAAAUCCGAAGCUUACCUAACCGGAGAAAUUCAACAGAAAAAGGUAAAUCUGAAGCUUCGAUCUGAUGAUGUGUGAUGAUGGUGGUGUCCUCGAUCUGCUCGAGUCGAGCAGAUGGUGCUGCUGCGUGUGUGUGUGGUCACGGCAAGAGAGGGAGAGAGGUAAGAAGGUUUCGAGAGAGAGAGACAGUGCAGAGAAGAGAAGAGAGUGAGAGAAAGAAAUAAUAGAAAAGAAAAAGGAAGAGACAGAUGCUCUUUCGGGCAAGAAUGGGACAGGAUAAAGAAAAGGAAAAGUGGGUAAUCGGGCAAACUGUAAAAACAAGGAAAAUGGCCCAGAUUUUUUUUUAUAUUUUCCUUUUCUCCUUUUUAUUUAUUUUUUGUUGCUUUGAUCUAUUGAAAGCAAGAUGAAGAACGCAAAAUGUACAUAAGAAAAUAAAGGAAGAAAAGUAAAAUAUAUAUAUUAUAUAUAAUUAUAAUUAUUGUAAUUUGGGCACCAUUCCCAUCAAAACAAAACAAAAACAAAGCCCUUUCGGGCAACUCAAACAAAGGAAAUAACAACCUAUGUCGGGCAAGAACUAUGCCCAAGUCAGGCAAAAUACAAAGAUAAUAAAGAAAAAAGAAAAGAGCCUAACGCCUAACAAGGAAAAAGAGAAACCAUAGCCUAUUCGGGCAACUUAGAGGGUAUUUGGGCAAACUGCAAAAAAAAAUAUCAAGGGGAUUCAAACCCCUCCCUUUGUCAACCACACACCUAGACCGUAUCCAACUCGCUAUAGAUGUGUUUGUAAUUACAUAUUCAGCCUGUAAUAUUUAUAUGGUUGUUAAGAUGUCUGCAAGGCUUGCAAGCUAAUAUUUAUUAUCUAGGAUAAAUUUCUAUAUUUAAAAAAACACCAAGGGGAUUCGAACCCCUCCCAUUUUACUCCUUCAACACCUUGACCACCAUAUCACUUAUGUUUUUGUGAAAAUAUGCUAAAAUACACUUACUCUACACAUAGAGAUGACGAAGAUAGUGAAAAUUUUGAACCCCAUAGGAACUCUAUGUGGUACUAAGUCACCAUGUAUCUUACCAUGCAAUGUAUAAAGUGUCAAAAUAUUGUAUUAAUUCAUUAUAUAUAAAUGAUUAUAGUGUGUUUAAACUUCUUUCAUUAAUUACUACAUAUUUUCUACACUCACAAUGUUUGCCAGCUCGCUAUAUAAUCAACUUAAAUCAGUUAAAUUCAUCAUGCAAUGCAUUUCCUUCCAAUUUUGUGUGAUAAACUAAUAGAUAAUUGACUAAAUAAACAUCCUGCAAAGUUUCAAUAAAAAUUUCCAAGUUUUUCUUACAAUUUCCGUGGUUUCCAUAUAAUUUUUAUCGAUAUCGAUAUUAUCCCGAUAUUUCCAUUGAUAUUUCCGUGUUUUCGGACUACCGAUAUUUCCGAUAUUACCGAUAUUUUCUUCCUUGGUUUUAACUAAGAGAUUUCACAAAUUGAACCAGCUUAUGAAACCACUUGUCUCCAGCAAUCGGGGAUCACUAAAUGUCUGCUCAAGCUUCUUGUGUCUUCAGCUUUUGUCCAUUCUAAUUUAUUUUGUGUAUGAGAGGACUAGCCAUUUGGGUUAGGUUCUUUAUUUUAUUUUUACCAUUAUUACUUUUAUUUCAUUUUUCGCGAUAAUAAUAUUUUUAACAACACUAAAAUGAUGAGGGAGAUUUUGAACUCGAGAUGCAGCGAGUUGAAAAAAGAACUUUUUAUAGAAAAUACGAUCGUGAUAUCCAAGUCAAAAUAGGAUCGUGGUUGUUUUUCUUUUCUUAGAAAAUUUCGUAUUGUACAAAUAUUACGAUUUUAUUUUCUAUUGUAAAUAGAUUAGUAAUAUGUUUUCCUUACACUAAAAGUAGGUUGGGUUCGCUUCAGUUCGGUAAUUGAACUGAAAACCAAAAAUCGCUUCGCGAAAUCGACACCCAAAAAUCACUUUCCGAACUAUGUUGGUAUACCCACUCCUGUGGCAUUCCAAGCAAUCCAAACUAGUCCAAGACCGUUCAAUCGUCCCGGCUUCAAAUUUUUGGACCAACGAUUGAACCAAGGGCAUUUUCACCCCAUUUCUCUGCAAAUUUGACAUUUCCCAUCUCAAAUCUUGCACUCGGAGUCCAUUACACUUCCGUUACUCAAGAAGACAUAUAUCGUCCAAGCUCUUCCAACCCAAAUGUCAAACAACACUUGUCUUGACAAGUCAUAGAGUUGACAAGCGCCCUUGCGUAGCCAUCGGUCGCGGUGACGAAGACUUCAACACCAUCUUUGCUGAGACUAAUGACGGAAAGCACAUCCAUCAUGUCAUCUUCAUCGAUCUAAAGCCCACCGUCUUCUCUGAUAUGGAGCCUUGUGCCAUCUUCUUUCGAGUCAAAUUUCGAUAAAAUCAAGGGAGAGAGUGAGAGCAUGCAAGCAAAAAUGGAGGGAUUUGAAGAAGUUUGGGUAUGUUGAAUGGCUUAUGGAUUUACAGAGAGAGAGAGAGAGAGAGAGAGAGAGAGAGAGAGAGAGAGAGAGAGAGAGGAACUUGGGGUUUCAGUUUGGAAUAAAGAAGAGAGAAGGCUUUGGAAGGUUUCAAAAUUACAAAGCAAAAGGGUCGAAAGGAAAUUGCCAAGUUUGUUUGAAAUAGGCUCUAGAAGUUUUUGUUGUAUUAUAGGAAUAGGCCCAUCCAUUCAUCCAAAUUGGUGGGUUUCUAAUCCCCCAGCAAUACCCAACCAUUGUAUAAUAGAAACGGGCUGGUCCGGGGUCCUGUGGGUUUGAAGAUUUGGACCCGCCCUGCCCCGUUAAUUUCUUGAACCCAGCCUGCCCCGUUUGUGUUUUACAAUUUUCAUACCCGCCCUGAACUGCAUGGACCCGACCCGCCCCACGGGUCUAGUACCCGUUUGCCCACCCCUAGAGUGGCAGAGGGAGGAGGAAGGAAGAAGAAAGUUGCAGCUAGGGUUAAAUGAAUAAUAGUUGUUGUUCUACCAUUUUUGUUGGGACAAGUAGGGAUAUGUUUUCUUCAUGAGUAGGGAUAUCUUUCCUUCAUGAGUAACCUUCAACUUGGACAAAAUAAGAAAUUUAUCAUCCAUUUCUUUCUUUAAAAUGCCUUUAGGACAGUAAAUAGUCAUGCUUAAGUCAAUCAUCUCUACUAAACAAGGCCUUUAUUUGUACAUAUAUCAACAAACGGCUUCUUUGCUAUUUUUAGUUAAUUUGACAUGCACAUAGAACAACGCAUGAAUUUUGCUAUUUUUUUGCUAAGUAAAGAAAUUCAUUUAAACAUAGAAACCUCUUAUACAACCAUUUCAAAUACAAUCAAACAUAAAAGCAUUGUAAGCCUUAUCAGGAAUACAAUACUCCCAAAUAUGUAAAUUUUGUACAGAGGGGCCCUAACUAGCUAUAAGACAUGAGCUACAACGUUUGCUUCUCGGAAAAUAUGAGACCGUUUGAUAGAAUCAAAUGAAGAAGCAAGCCACUAAAUGUCUUCAAUAGUGGAUUUUAAUUUCCAAGGAACUCCAUACAAUCCUUGAACAACAUUGAUGACCAACUUUGAAUCACCAUCCACCAUGAUCCGAGGAAAUCCCUUGUGUCUUGCAAAUUUUGAAGCUUCUCUCAAUGCCACAGCUUUUGCCACCGGCAUAGUUGUUUCUUUCAGAUUCAUAGCUCCAACUACGAAGGGUUGACCUUUGUCAUUCAUAAUCACAAAUCUGCCGCAUUUUUGUUUUGGACAACAGAACCAUCAAAGUCGACUUUAACAUAAGAAGAGUCUGGAGGGUGCCAUUUAAUCAUUUCAUAAGGAUAAACAGACCAUGCUUACUCUUUUUAGCAUUAACUUUAAAAUAAGAUAAUCUUGUUGCAACAACAAGAGUGAUGGUAUGAGCAGGAUUUAGUUGUAAGUUCCUAAACACAAAUGCAUUUUUGUCAUUCCAGAUUUGCCAACAAGUUAACAAGGCCUUGCUCAGUGCACAGAGCUCAACUGUUUAUGAAUGGUGCAAAGUUGAAUUUUGCUAAUGGGAACCUCCCUCAUCAAGCAAAAUCCCUCCCUUAAAGAAAUAAUGAGAUGCAAUCCAAAUAAAAAGUUAUAUGAAAGGAAAAUAUACAAGCAAGCAAGCCUUACCAACGAUGUAUAAGUGAUGUAAACCAGAUUCAUAUACGUACCAACGUAAUUUACAAUCUUCACAUGCUUGCUUAUAAACAAUACAAUAUCAACAUUAAAAUCUCAAACCUUACAAGAUGUAUGUACUUUACACUAGUAUGUAAUGCAUUAAAAUCUCAACGUCAUGUAAUAAGUUCCACCCUAUGAUCUCAUAAACCUCAAAGUCGAUUACUAUUCAAAACUAUAAAAUAAGUUCAACCAAAUUUCCUAAUGGACACAUUAAAAAGUAUAUUCGUUUUUCUUCAAAACUAAAUAAUUUUGUCAGCAAAUAUUGCAUAAUUGAUUCCAUCCCUCAUAAAAAAAAAAAAUUCCAUCCAUAUUUAGAAGCAAAGAAGUGGAAGAGAGGGAUACAUAUUUACACACACAAAAAAGGAGUUCAAAUGCAGUUGUUUUCAUGAGAGAAAAAUUAUAUUCACUAUCUAACAAUCAAUUAUCACAUAUUUUAGCAUUGCAUAUAGCCAUUGAGCAUAAGAUUUUGCUUCCUUUUUAAAUUAUUAAUAGCCCAACAAUUGCAUAAACCUAAAAAUUGAAUAUUGCAAACUUUUGAUGCUCCUUGAUGAGCUUGCUUAUAUAGUUUUCACACCAUUCUUCUCUCGCUCCUCACACACACCUCAAUGCUGUAUUUCUUUUCUCCUUUUACCCCCAUAUCUCCACACCCUUCUCCUUUCUCUCUCUAAAUUGGUGCACAAAACCAAGAACCAAGAACCAAAAGCCUAAUCUAAUUCCUAAUUGGGGAGAGAGGGGUAGACACAUGCUUUGAGGGUUUGGCUUUUUAGCUCUCCUCCUCCUCUCUUUGUCAAAAACACACCUGAAUUCUCUCCUACCCUUCCUUGAACUCCUCUCUCUCCCCCCCUCACUCGCUCAUCAAUUUGCAGCUUCCUUCAACACAAUCUGUCAAAGGCACUUGAUUUACUUGCGAAAGCUUGAAGAUUUAAGGGUAUCGUGACAAACCCACAUAGCCUCAGCUCGCAGGUUUGAAAAUAACCAUUAAUUUCCUCCUCUGUGAUGCAUUUCGGAUACCCAAUUCAAUUGGGUAUUUGAAAUCGGUGGAUUUAGAUUGCUGUAUAUUGUGAACCUCUAAUUCUGUUUGGUAUAUAUAUAUACAAUUCGUUUCUGUCUGGGCAUUAGGGUUUUUGAGGUGGAACAGUUUUGGUUUUUGGGUUUGUUGUGUUCCUUUUUACUGGUUCUGGAACUUGGUAUUUGAGCUUGAAGGUUACAUGUUUAUGGGUCUGUGUGUUGUUCUUCAGUGGUAAUAAGAUUUGGGUAUUGUGAAGUUGAAUGGUUUUGGACUAUCGGUUUCUGGGUCAUCUGUAUUGAUUGAGAUAUGAGUCGUAGGGUGCGGCGAAAGGUGGCUAGGAAGGGGAAGGAGAAGGUGGUUUUGCCUAGUUAUCCGGAAAUUGAAGAUGAAGUUUCAUGUCCAAUGCAAAAUGGGAUUGUCAAUUGGACUGGUUUGCCAGAUGAUACAGUCAUUCAGUUGUUUUCAUGUCUGAAUUAUCGUGACCGGGCAAGCUUAUCUUCAACUUGCAAGACAUGGAGGGUUCUUGGAAUUUCGCCUUGUUUGUGGACGUCUUUGGAUCUUCGCGCUCACAAAUGCAAUGAUACCAUGGCAUCUUCACUUGCUUCAAGAUGUGUAAAUCUUCAGAAGCUUAGGUUUCGUGGGGCAGAAUCUGCUGAUGCAAUAUUGCAUCUUCGGGCAAAGAAUUUACGUGAAAUAAGUGGCGAUUACUGUAGAAAAAUAACUGAUGCUACUCUAUCUGUGAUCGUGGCGCGGCAUGAGUCACUUGAAAGCCUCCAGCUUGGGCCAGAUUUCUGUGAAAGGAUCAGCAGUGAUGCUAUAAAAGCAAUAGCUCUUUGCUGUCCUAAAUUGAAAAAGCUUCGACUUUCCGGAAUUAGGGAUGUGCAAGCUGAUGCUAUUAAUGCUUUAUCUAAGCAUUGUCCAAAUUUGACUGAUAUCGGGUUCAUAGACUGUCUGAACAUUGACGAGAUGGCACUGGGAAAUGUUUUAUCAGUUCGAUUCCUCUCUGUUGCUGGGACCUCAAACAUGAAAUGGGGCGUGGUUUCACAUCUUUGGCAUAAGUUGCCUAACUUGGUUGGGCUAGAUGUUUCAAGAACUGAUAUUGGUUCUGCUGCUGUUUCACGGUUGUUAUCAUCAUCACAGAGCUUGAAGGUUUUAUGUGCCCUGAAUUGUCCCGUGCUUGAAGAAGACAGCAACUUUGCUCCUCGUAAAUAUAAAAAUAAAAUGUUACUUGCCCUUUUUACAGAUAUUAUGAAAGAAAUAGCUUUUUUAUUAGUCGACAUUACGAAGAAAGGAAAUAAUGUGUUUCUGUAUUGGAGGAAUUCCAAGAACAAGGAUAAAAACUUGAAUGACAUUAUGAGUUGGAUUGAAUGGAUUCUCUCUCAUACUCUUUUGCGCAUUGCCGAGAGCAAUCAACAGGGUUUAGAUGUUUUUUGGCUCAAGCAAGGUGCAUCUUUGUUGCUCACUUUAAUGCAGAGCUCACAAGAGGAUGUCCAAGAAAGGGCAGCUACAGGGCUUGCAACUUUUGUUGUUAUUGAUGAUGAAAAUGCUAGCAUAGAUUGUGGGAGGGCUGAAGCUGUUAUGCGAGAUGGUGGCAUACGUCUUCUCUUAAACCUGGCAAAAUCUUGGCGGGAAGGGCUCCAAUCAGAGGCUGCAAAGGUAUAUAAUUUUUUUUUCUCGUGCUAUUAUGACAAUCGGCCCUUUUGACUAAUUGUUGUAUGAUAUGGUCUAUAGUGUAGGAAUUGGUCAUUUGGUGAUACACAGAUUCAUGAUUAUCAUGCAUGUAGAUGUGGAAUUAGGCUGACUCAUUCCUUUAAAUGUUCAUUACUUGAAUAGGCUAUAGCAAACUUGUCUGUGAAUGCCAAUGUUGCUAAAGCUGUUGCUGAAGAAGGAGGGAUCAAUAUUCUUGCGGGUUUGGCAAGGUCUAUGAACAGGCUGGUCGCUGAAGAGGCUGCUGGAGGACUAUGGAAUCUUUCUGUUGGAGAAGAGCACAAGGUCUGAUAGUCUACAUUCUAUUGUCUUAUCACUUACAUAUGCCCCAAAAUUUACUUGUAAUCAAUUAGGUUUUUCUGGUCAGGGUGCCAUUGCUGAGGCCGGUGGAGUGAAAGCUUUAGUUGAUCUAAUUUUUAAGUCAUCUGGUGGUGAUGGAGUUCUGGUACAUUACCUUUUUUUCACGUAUUUCUCUCUUUACGUAUGAUGCUUAUAUUUUAUGCAAUACACUUUGGGUUGCUGUUGCAUGGUGGUUUAAGUUGUGCCUUGCUUUCCAUGUGUGUCAUUUCAGGAACGGGCAGCUGGUGCACUGGCGAAUUUGGCUGCUGAUGACAAGUGUAGCACAGAGGUUGCUGUGGCAGGUGGUGUGCAUGCUUUAGUGAUGCUUGCUCGUAACUGCAAGUUUGAGGGAGUGCAAGAGCAGGUAAUAGAACCUUCUGUUGCUAUUGUUAAGCUCUAUCUGACAACUCAACAAAAACAUACUUCAAGUGUGUACAAUUUUUCCUAUGGCUCCAGAUGGUUGAAACUUCAGGCAAAACUUAGUUCCAAGAAACCUUAAAAGCCGGUUUUGAUCGACACCCACCACUUCAAGAUUCAGGUUGUGGUGAUUGGUUUGUCCUUUGUUUAUAGAAAAUCUCACACUAUUUGUGAUGGUUCUUCAAAGCCUGCCUAGAUCUUAGGUUCAUAUGGUGUACCGCUGUAUCUAAGUGCCAAUUUAUGGCCCACAGUGUAGCAUUAAAUUAGUGAAAAGUUUUCCUUAUUCUAUAUAGCAUCUGGUUCUUCUAGGGACUUUCCUUCACUAUUGUAUUGGCUUCACUCAUUCAGACUCAUCUGCGAUACCUUUCCCAACAUGAUCUUUCUUUUCUUUUUUAGUGGUUCAGGUGUACAUCUUGCAUUGGUUCUCUCUCUCUCUCUCUCUCUCUCUCUCUCUCUCUCUCUCUCUCUCUCUCUCUCUCUCUCUCUCUCUCUCUCUUAUAUGCACCUGUAUGUGUGCAUUGUAUUUUUUUUUUUAGCAAAUUAUUAAUGCACUUCUUAUACCAGGCUGCCCGUGCCUUGGCAAAUUUGGCUGCCCAUGGAGACAGUAAUAGUAAUAAUGCUGCAGUUGGACAAGAGGCAGGUGCUCUUGAUGCUCUUGUUCAGCUUACACAAUCUCCUCAUGAAGGUGUCAGGUAGUUUAAUCUGGAUCCUCUCUUUGCAUUUUUUUAAGCAACUCUUGAAUCUUUUGAUUUAAUGUUUUUGUAUCAGUCUGAUAUUAUUUUGUUAUCUACAAUAUAUUUUCUUUCAAGCAAACUUUCUAUAUUUAGAUAAUUUUUAUUUUAUACAUGCAUCAAAGGUUUAAGAUACUUGCAUGCCCCUUUCACCAAUUACCACAAUAAAAAAGAAACAGAAUCCCACUUAAGGAACAAAAGUAAUAAGAAAUUAUCAGUUGUUUAGGAAUGUUCAUUGUUGAGUGUGGUGCUCAAUCUUUAGGCUUGUUGAGAGUAUAUCUCACUUUGGGAAUGCAAAGCAUUGUUUAUUAUACAAUGUUAAGGGCCUCUGCACUGAUGGCCCAUUGUUUUGGGUUGGAUGCCUUAACUUUUACUUGGUAUCAGAGCAAGGAACCCAGUAUAAGUUAUCUACGCUUUUGGCUGCCACACCGAGGGGGCAUGUUGAGAGUAUGACCCACAUCUGCAAUGUAAAGCUGUGUGUUUCAAUAUAAUGUCUUGGCCCUCUUCAACUCAUGACCACUGGGUUUUGGGUUAGAUGCUCUAAUUCUUUCCAGACUAAAAAUGAUGCUGUGUUUAAAAGGCUGCUUUAAUUGCUUAAGAGGCUAAAUGGAAUUCUAGUUCACUCAUUAGUUGUUAUUAUCAACUUUUGUCUAUGCAACCAAUGUAAAACUAUACCUUAUUUUACCAUUGAACAGGCAAGAGGCAGCUGGUGCAUUGUGGAAUCUAUCGUUUGAUGACAGAAAUCGAGAAGCAAUUGCUGCAGCAGGCGGUGUUGAGGCAUUGGUAUGAUAUUUACCUUGAAUAAUCACAACCUUAUAAUGUCAACAUAAUCCAUGCUAGCGUCUCAUUCAAAUCCCUAACAUAAAGUGUUUUUGGAUAAGUAUUUCUUGGAGUUGAACAUUUUAUUUACUAUUUAUUUACCCUGUAAUAAAUGCUGCAUUAUUAUGAAAAAGUUUUUAUCAAAUGCUAUACACAUCUUAGGGUGACCAAAACAUGUUACUUAUUUGGAUCUACAAAAAAAUCAAAGCAAAUUAAUGAAACAGAUGGUUUAGAAGCUUCUUUGUGUGUGAACCAUUUCAUAUCUGCAUCAAGAUUUUUGGUCAUGAUUUGAAUGGCAUUUCGAAUUUGGACUUGCACAUAUUGAAGUUGAUGAACUGGAAAACGCUUCUAACAUAAAUAUUUGUUUUAUGUACUGUUAGUUUUUUAUUUUUUAUUUUCUUUAUUGCAAUUUAAAUCCUACAGUAUUAUCUGGGUCUAGCUGGUUUCUUGUUAGUUGGACUAAAAAAUGUGAAUGUUGGCGUUGCUUGAAAAAUGGUCCCUUUAGCUGCUUUUGCUUCUGCCAGUUUGUGAAGGUAAAAAAAAAUGUGGAUGUUGUGUUGAGUAUGGAAUUUUUUUUUGUUUAAAAGUUAUAGAACAUUUUGAUAGUUUACCAUUUGACCUGGAAAGUGAUACUUUAACAUUGUUGUUCUUUUUAAGCUUAAGUGUUCCCACUUGUUAAAAUACAGUUUUUGUUAUUUCAUACCCAAUAAUGUUGCACUGUAAGUUUAAGCUACCUCAUUUGGGUAUGCAGGUUGCUCUUGCACAAGGCUGCUCAAACGCCUCCCCAGGCCUUCAAGAACGGGCUGCUGGUGCUCUUUGGGGAUUGUCAGUGUCAGAAGCCAAUAGGUAUGUGCUUGCUCUUCGUAACACAUCAAGCUAGUUCAAAUCUAUACGAGCCAAAGAGUUUGGACUAGCGAUGCAUAUCUUUCUAGAGAUAUCGUUCAUUUUUGUUUUAGUUUAUGGAUCAAAACCUUUUGGAAUACCUGAUCUCAGUCAGGUUCCUUAUUCAUUUAGCUAGAUAAUGAUGAUGAGCUAAACUUUUGAUGGAAAACAAGCACAUACCAUGCUUAUCACAAAAGAAAAAGGAAGGAAAUAAAAGAAGAAAAAGAUGCAUGCAAUCAGUGGCUUGAGAUUCCUUUCCAAUUAUAUCUGGAAGAAUUUUUAUGAGUUUGAAUAUCAUAUAAACUACAGCUGUGAUGUAGUAAAGACUAAGAUUCAGCAAGUUGCUGUUCGAUCAAAUUUAAUUAUAAUUUAUUUUGUUAUGUGGUUAUAUGUUAAUGAGAGACUUGUUUUGUAAUGCAGCUAAUGCUUAUGAUGGUAGCUAGACACUGGGUAAUCAAUAAGAAAUCAUUUCUGGGGAAUGGAUAUUAUUUGUUACAAUGUCAUAUUGGCAUCUAUCGUAAUUUUGGCUCUGCCAAAUCUCAAAUAAUUUUAAUUUACUGAUAGCCUAACAAAGACAAAGCUGUAUCUUAUAUUUCAUGGGCAUGCAAUUAGUUUGUUUCAUGUUUUGUUCUUUUUUCCCUUUUCAUUUCAUAAACCUUCACGUUUGCAUUUUUCCAGUGCAUUGCAUUGCAUUUUUAAGAGGUCGCACUUGGUGCGAUGGCAAGUGCCUUCGCCCAUGAGCGGUAGGUCUCGGGUUCGAGACUUGGGAGCAGCCUCUCCAUAAAUGGGGGUAAGGCUAGCCGACAUUCACCUCUCCCAGACCCUGCGUAAAGCGGGAGCCUUGUGCACUGGGUACGACCUUUUUUAUUGCAUUGCAUUUUUGCCCUUUUCAUUUCUUAGAGCUUCAAAAACAUUCCAUGACUUGUUUGCAGGAAGUCCUGUAAAGUCACAGCUCUGGUAUGGACAUUGUGCCAAAUAGUGCGAUUCUGAUAUUUAAGGUGUUUGAGCUUGUGAGUGUAAUAUUGGUCGGGUUAGGUUUAGAAAGUUUUACCACUUUAAUGUUUUUCAUUGUUCUUUUAUUUCUUACCAUAGGGUUACUUUGUCAUAAGAUAUUUCUGUUCAUUUUGUGUGCAACUUCUAAUCAAACAGACUUUCCAGCUUAACUUCUUAACACGUUUUAACAAUGAAAUUUCUCCUUAUUUCAUUGGUUGAGAAGAUUGAACUUUAACCAAAAGUGUAAUUUACAUGAAAACCACAAAAAAGUAGCGAAUCUGUGAGCAAAAUAUUCAAGUCUUCCAGUUCUCAGAAGCAGAUUCCAUCGAAGUAUUUGUCAACCUGAAAUUAUAAUAUUAUAUAAUUAAUGCCUACAAUUAUUUUGCUUCUUUGUCAUGGUUUUUGUGGGUACUGGAAUAAUUUUUAUGCUGGAAUGUUGGUCCAGUAAUCUCUACGAUUGUUUAGGAUGCAACUUCCAAAAUUACUCAACUGUGUGCUUUUAAAGAAUAAUCACUUGUGCAUUUUAUGAAUGGAUCAACUGAAUGUGAUCUGCAGUAGAUUUCCUUUUUCUCCAGUCACAUUGUUAUUUCUUGAAAUCUAUCAUACUCUUCCAUCCAGAAUACUCCUAUGUUCUUUCAUUGAGUAUUGAUAUGAAUUUUUUAUUUAAUGCUGUCACUAUUGAUUUUGCUCACUUUUUGUUGGUUGUUAGCAUUGCCAUUGGACGGGAAGGAGGUGUUGUGCCUUUGAUUGCAUUGGCACGCUCUGAAGCUGCAGUAAGUAUUAUUUUAUUUUUCAAUUAUUAUUUAAGAUGUUCAUGUUCUAUGGUCAAUUAGAGAAAAUCAAGCACUAUUAUUUAAUUAAAUUUGGUAUUAGCUGUCGUACAUGCAGAUUGUUUCAGAAAUUAGUUUAAUAGUAAUAGAACGUGGUGGAUCACUGCUCACCUAGGCACUGGAAUUGAGCAAUCAAUUUAUGGACAUAAUUUUUGUCUAAAAAGAAAAAUAGGAGCAGAAUCUAAUACCAAUCAUUGAAGUUAAGUCUGAAAGGAUUAGUAUGAGUAUUUUCAUGUGUCGUUUUUUAUUCAGUAAAUAAUAUCUGACAGUCUGUAUAAUAAUGUUAACAAAUAAUUGUGGAAACUGAAGCUAGGACCUCUACAUCCAGUAUUAGCUGUUUGGUCUUGUUUUACAUUUGAUGCACAUGAUGAGCGAAGCUUUUUAUACUUGAACUUGUGUGUCGAUACCUGUAACAUCUUUUCGGGUGCAUAGUUUCUCAUGGCCUUGCAUAUAAAUUCACUCAUGUUCUAAUUGGAUACUCUUUUGGUCAUUCAACCUUUUUAUAGUCCUUCAUGGGUAUGCUUUAGUGAGUACAGUGCAAUUACUUGCAAAUAUAUGCUCAUAUUUCCUUACAACAUCCUUUUGUUGAGCUUUCUUCAUUCAUGUAAUUGGAAAAAGAUUUGAUUUGAUUUUUCAACUUUCAGGAUGUCCAUGAAACAGCUGCGGGUGCUCUUUGGAAUCUUGCUUUUAACCCUGGUAAUGCUCUCCGGAUUGUGGAGGAAGGAGGUGUUCCUGCGCUUGUUCAUCUUUGUUCUUCUUCGGUGUCAAAAAUGGCUCGCUUCAUGGCUGCGUUGGCAUUGGCAUACAUGUUUGAUGGCAGGUAUUUGUAGGCCUAACUGUUUUCUGUGUGCUUGCUACUCAUUCUUUUGUUUCAAAAUGCUGUUGAAUGUAUGGGAUAUUUUGUUCUGUAUGUGAUGUGGUUUAACGUCCUUGUGAGUCUGUAUACUUCUAUGUGGCCUCAUUUUCAACCCACUGCAUCCAGGGUUCAAAACCUCCUCCUCCCCUUAGUCUUAAUAGUAAUAUCUCUUGUAGUAAGAAAAAGUAUGUAUGUUAAAACUUUGUUAAUACUCUGCAGAAUGGAUGAGUACGCGAUGAUAGGGACUUCAUCGGAAAGUGUCUCAAAGAGUGUGAGCUUAGAUGGCGCUAGAAGGAUGGCUCUGAAACACAUUGAGGCCUUUGUCCACACUUUUUCUGAUCCACAAACGUUUGGUGCUGCUGCAGUAUCAUCAGCCCCUGCAGCGUUGGCGCAAGUGACAGAAGGUGCUCGUAUUCAAGAAGCAGGACAUCUGAGAUGCAGGUUCUCUCUCUCUGAACUAACGAUUGUUGUCUACGAGGCUGAAAUUUUAAAUUUGCCCUGUAAUUUUGCAUAUUUUUUUCCGUCUGAACAUUGACGUUUCCUUGUACUGUCAGCGGGGCUGAAAUUGGAAGAUUUGUUUCCAUGCUACGGAAUACAUCAUCUGUUCUCAAGGCGUGUGCUGCAUUUGCUCUUCUUCAGGUAAAAGUGCAUACUAGACUCACCUCUGUGAGAAACACUAGUCCUUUGUGUAGUUUAGUGCCAACUUUAAUAUCCAUUAUUUAUUGAUGGAGAACGAUCCUUUAUAUAUGUAUUCUUUCAACUGCAGUUUACCAUACCUGGUGGCCGGCAUGCUAUGCACCAUGCCAGCCUUAUGCAGAAUGGAGGAGCAGCACGCCUUCUGCGGGCUGCAGCUGCUGCAGCAACUGCCCCCCUUGAAGCCAAAAUCUUUGCUAGAAUUGUGCUUCGGAAUCUUGAGCAUCACCAAAUAGAACCAUCACUUUAAUUUAUCUGUGAUCCGCCGGCAAAACAUCUCUGUUUAGAAUCGUUGAUGGAGGCUGAUUUCAUGCUUAGUUACAAUCUUCCGCGGACAACAGGACAUUGCACCGCAAGGACACAAUCUAUAAUCUUCGGUUUAACAAAUCGGCUUGAUCUUCAAUUUUUCUUCCUCCCCCCAUUCCUUAGGCAUAAAAGAUGGUUAAUUUAGGUUCAAGUAACUUACUCCCUUUGUACCAAAUCAUAUGAAGAAAAAGAGAAGAUUGUUUAGAUGGGGGAAUAAUUUGAAGAACUUGUACCUUAACCAUUUUCAAUUUUUGUUGGUAUUCUUUGUGAUGACGGUUUCUAUAUAUUUUAAAGCUGUUUGAGACUCUUCGAGGCAACAUUCUGAUGAAAAAUUUCACUAGUUAAUUUUGUGUUCUAUUGUUUUUAUAGGUUGAGGUCGCACUUGGUGCGAUGGCAAGUGCCUUCGUCCAUAAGCGGUAGGUCUCGGGUUCGAGACUUGGGAGCAGCCUCUUCAUAAAUGGGGGUACGGCUAGCCGACAUUUACCUCUUCCAGACCCUGCAUAAAGCGGGAGCCUUGUGCACUGGGUACGACAUGGGGUAAGGCUAGCCGACAUUUACCUCUCCCAGGCCCUGCAUAAAGCGGGAGCCUUGUGCACUGGGUACGACCUUUAUUGUUUUUAUAGGUAAGUGAUAGCCGCAGCUCUUCUCCCGCUGCACACGCUUGUUGUGUCUGGCAAGGGAGAAAAAUAAAUAGGGUGAGCGGAAAUCACCUCUUCCGCUUAUCCGAAAUAAGAUUGGAAUUCGAUAAUCUAAAUAUUGAUAAUCUGAAUAUAAAUGGAUUUGGAUGUGGCUCCAGGUUGAUCUAAUUCGACUUAAUAUAACAUAGUAUUUGUUUUAUUUAAAUUUAUAGAUAUUAGUUGAAUUUUUCAGGUCAACCGGCCGAUGCUCCUACUCCAACAACACUGAUAUUGUCAACAAUAUUAAUAAUAAAAAUUAAUAAUACAAUAAAUGAUGCUCCAAGCUAGCAAAUCUGCUUGACCAUGGCCACAGGUAGGGUGAAAUUUCUUAUAUGCUCUCCGGACCCGAAAGGGGUGGAUAACCAUAAUUUGCUAUUAGUUGUCACCUUUUUAUUAAAAAAAAGUUUCUAAUGACAUUUUUGAAUUAGAUCCGAUAAGAAAUAUAUCCAAAUCCCAUGCUAGUAGGAUAUGAGUCGACAAGUCAAAUCCAAUUAUGCAGAUCCGAUGACCUGAUUAUAAAUGGACCAAGAUAUGAAUUGACUGAUCUUAUCCAAAUCCGAUCCGUUUACAAGUCUAGGUGAAGUAACGGUCCGAAAGGUGGAAGAUAUAAAAGUACAAUAAAGUUGGGAGUCAUUUACAUACUCUACAACGUAGAGUCUCCGUAAAAUUACUUAACAAAGUACAACAUCAAUGAUUACGAAACAGUACAACAUCAAUGAUUACGAAACAAUAUGGCAGCCGGCAGCCGGCAGCCGGCAAUCGUAAAAGGAAUUGUCACUCACUCUCCCUUCUCCAAUGGUGCAAAAAAUAAACAGACAUAACAAGUCCCGUUCGACUAUAGUGCAUAGAGUAGUAAGAAUAUACGUAGUAGCGAUCAUUUCAGAGCGUUCUUGUGUAUAUUUCGUGUUACCUUUAAACCCCGAAGCUCACAUUACACGACCCUCAGCACCACCUUCUGAUGCUCACCGAGUCC
rnacentral:lncRNA from 1 species